rnacentral:lncRNA from 1 species
ACACCGGAGGUUCCUCAAUUGAAGGUUUUGUUAGUGGAGUCUUCCUAUUCUCAAGGUCCAAAUAUAGUUUCCUAGGCUCAUAAGAAUAAGAUCCCAUCCCAUGUAAAGCAUUCACACACUUCACUCGGCCUUCAUCCUCAUUGACAUCAAGAUUCAACAAUACGGCCUAUAGAGGGUCUUCCGCAUUGAUCAUUGCACUUGUAUCAUCAACUAUCACUGCUGUGACAAGGUCUACAAAAGAGCACACCUCAGAACUAUUGGGCAGCUUUAUUGACUUACACACAUGAAAUACCAUUUUCUUAUUACCCACCCGGAAGGUGAGUUCCCCUGCUUCCACAUCAGCUAAGGCCUUCCCAUUAGUAAUAAAGGUAUCCCUAAUAUGACUGGAACUUCAUAAUCUACCUCACAAUUCAAGAUCACAAAAUCAGCUGGCAAGACAAAUUUGUCCACCCGGACAAAGACAUCAUCAAUAAUACCCUAUGGUCUCUUCAUCGUUCUAUCCGCCAUUUGCAAUCUCAUGGAAGUCAGCCUUGGUUGCCCAAUACCCAAAGUCUUGUAAACUGAGUAGGGCAUCAAGUUGAUACUUGCCCCCAAAUCAUAUAGAGCCUUGGCAAAGUCUGCACUCCUAAUGAUGCAAGGAAUGGUGAAAGCACCAGGAUCUUCAAGCUCCAGGGCCAUUGAAUGCACUAUUGAACUAACUUGGUGGGUCAUCUAUAUAAUUUCACAAUCCAUGGAUCAUUUCUUUGUCACCAAGUCCUUCAUGAAUUUAGCAUAGCCCUGUUGAUACCCAAUUUUUCCCUAUAUAUAUUUUGCACCCAAACUACUUUCAAAAUAGUAUAUAUAUGCAUAUAUAAGCAAGCCAGAGAACUUUAGUAUUUUCUUUAAUUUUUGAGAUUUUUAAAAAUCAAUUUACUGCUUACUUUUGACGGUAUAAAGGCCAAAAUUAUUUUCUAAAUUAUUAUUUUUAGUGAAUAAGAUGUUUCAUUCUCGUAUUUACAAUAAAAUAUAAUUUAUGUAAUAUUUGCAUAUUUUUUAUAAAUUUAUUUGGAUUUUUUAAGGCUAAUUGCAUAAAAUUGCAAUUAUGGCCAAUUUCGUAAUUAACUAUGUGUCAUAGUUAUAAAAUUAUUUCUAGUAUUUAUAGAUUAAUUUUUAUAUGUUAUUAAUUAGUUCCAUAUUUUUAAUUUUGUUUUUUAAACUAUUUUAGCUAUUUUAUAAAAUUAAUUGGGAGAAAUUGGUCAUUUAAAAGUUAGCCACAUUUUAUUUGAAAUAUAACCCAAUUACACCCCUAUUUCAGCCCAAUUCUAACCCUAUUUUAAUGACCCAUACCUAUUGGAUUUUACCCGGUCCAGCACAGUUUUGAUCUGAGUCGUUGAUUAAAUAAGAUCAACGGCCAAAAUCUUCUUUCCUUAAUUAAAUUGAACGACCCCUCCCCAACCCCUCAUUCACACAGACCGGUCUCUCUCUCUCUAACAAAUGCUCCCCCUUCUGUCUAGAACCUUCUGGUUCCUUCUUCUCCGAUGAAGUCCAUCGCCUCUCCGGCCAUACUCCUCCCGCACUUCUCUCGACCUCUAGUAGCCAUGGAAUCCUUAUAUCGUUGUUUUCUCUCUAAAGCUUGAAUCCCAGAAGUUUCCGCCAUGAAAGAUGGUCACUGAUGUUUCACAUGGGUCUGUCUCCGGCUUUUUCUCCGGUGGUUUUUGUCCAAUGAUGCCUUCUAUGGCAUUAUAUACGAGUUUCACGGCCAGGUUCUCAUUUCCCUAACUUAUUUUUCAAACCCUAAUUUUCUUUGCCUAAUAUCUUAAACUUCUGUCUUUCUAAUCAAUUUCCGAUUUAAUCUUGGUUUUCUACACUCCAUCUCACUCGAUAUCUUUGAUUAAUUCGAUUUUUUUUCAAGCCUCUUUAAUCUCUGCUCUUUUAAAACAACUCUCAGUUUGAUUUUGUUUUUUACUCUAUUUUUUACUUAGUGUUUCCGGUUAUUUCAAAUUUCAGAUGGUUACUACUCUUUCAAAUUAGGGUUUCUGACCCCAUUCUUCAAAAUCGUUUCUUCUGUCUUUUUGAGUACUAUAUGUUCGUUUGUGUUUAUUUGUUUUACUUGUUUGUUUGGUGUCCUUGUUAACCUGGGUCCAUGCUUUAAUUUUUUUCUUGCUAGGGUUUCCGACCCCCUUUCAAGAUCACUACAUCUUCUACUUCCUUUGAAUAUUAUGUAUGCAUGAAUUAUAUAUUUGUUUUUUUGUUACGAGCAUGUUUGUUUCUGAGUUUCAUGCUUAAAACUUUUUUACUAGGGUUCCAACCCUCUACUCUUCUAUGAUUUCUUGCACAAUGUUCACUGAUUUUUCACGCCUAUUGUGUUUAUAGGUCUAAUUGUUAUUCGAAUGAUUCUGUGUAUCUCCUUGAAUCCCUAAUAUGUAUGUGUUUUCCUUAAAGGUUCUUACACUGAUUUCUUGAAUUAUUUCCUUGCUUGUGAAAUGCUCUCUAUAAUUAGCACUGAUUCCCUCUGAUUUUUAGUCUCAUCCGUGAUUCUUUCACUAAUUUUAGAGUUAAUUUUGUAUUCUUACCAUAUUUAUGCUCUUAAAUGUUUAUUACUAUAUUCAGUAUAUGUUUUCCUAAUUCGAGUAUUAUGUAUUUGGCCUCUAUUACAUACUACAGGCCUACUACUUUACUAUGAUGUAAUUAGUUGUCUGAUUGAUUCUUUCCUUAUAUGAUACAGCUGUAUUCCCAUUUGAAUCAUGAAUCCUAGAUUAAUUUGAAUUAGGACCUAUGAUUGAUUCAAUUUAGUACUAUUUCUAUAAUUAUAUACUCCCUACCCUAUUCUCUAUUAUUUUCAAAACUAUAAAUACUCCUCACCUUUCUCUUUGAACACACCAACACACACUGCAUAUUUCUCAAAACUUCAGAUUCUCUGAAUUCUCUGUUCCUCUGCUAUGCUCUCCUACUCUCUUAUUUGAACACUCAACCGGCUGAAAGCAAAAAUUGAGUAGCCUUGGUUGAUUACUUCUACACUACUAUGUUCUACUGUUUGUUUAUUUGGGUCUAUUGCUGCUGCUAUUCUCAUACUGCUGCUGCACACUGUUAUUCUCUCUACUGCUUACACUCUCUGCUCACCUUGUUCCUCUAUGCACUAUUGUUCUUGUGGUCUAUUACUUGCAACUGGUAUGUCAUCCCUUUAAAAUAUAGUUUCCACAACAACAUGCUUCUAUUAAUUUUGCAUUUCAUAAUGUUUCUUGUGUGCUUUUACUUAUGGUUUUGUUGCUCUCUUUGUAACUAGCAUGUCACUUACUAGUCUAUUUGGUUCAGCUUAACCUCUCUUAUCCCCUCCCAUGUCUCAAUGAAUGUUUACUUUUUCCUUGAGUACUACUACCAUGCAUCCAUGUCUGUUUGGCUACUUGAUUAACCUAAAACCUCUAUUUGAGGCUAAGUGUAUUAGAGUUUGGCACAGUAAGAACUGAACUUUUGUUUUGCAACCAUGUCUGGUUACUUUCUUCCGAUGUGUUGCCUGUGUGAGUAGUUUACUUUGCUUAUUUGUUUCCUUCCCCUUUGCCCUUAUUUGUGUGAUGCUCUGUUGUUCUAAAACUGGUCAGUCUAAAUGAUUUCAAAAGAACAUUUGCAACUCUUCAAACUGUUUUCUUAAACUCUCUCAAUCCUUUCAGCUGCUUUCUCAAAAUGUCUCUCAACUGUUUUCAACUCUCUCAAACUUUAUCACAAUCUCACUACUCUUAGAAAUUAGCAUUGCUUUGGGAUCCCUGAGCACCCACUGAACUUUGAUGCACAAGGCUGGCAGUUCCACACUUACACUAGUCUAAUUAUGAUAUUUUGGCUGCUUGGUAUUGGCCAGGGGUUCAAACAAACCCUUAGGGAACUUUGCCGCACCCAAGCCUUGGUAAUGGCUGUGAAACUCAAAAGAAGUGAGGUUGGAGAUCUUGGGCCUGGCUGUAGGCUCCUUAUAGAAUAGCUUCUUCUUUUUUUAUCACUGUUGUAUUUUUAAAUUACUUGGUCUGUAAUAACUUGUAAAGAAUAAUGGGGUUAAUAGUGAAAUUGGGAGGGUUAUGCAUGCUUAGUCAAGGGGAAUAGGUCGAAAACAUGUUUAUUGGACUUUACGUACCUAUUUUCGCAAUAGAAAUCAUGUUUAGGACAUGCAUCUUGCAUGUAGGAAUCCUGUUCCUAGGUAUAUUACUUUCAGCUUGUUAUUUCGCCUAUUUUUAUAAUCACAAUCAGUUAAUAAUCAAGUUACUACCAUUGCAUCUAGAUACCAUGUUUUAGGGACUUUAUAUGAAUUAGAUAUCAUGUACUUCGGGUUUUUUAUUUGCAACUGUUGAAUGCCUCACUAAUUUUGUUAAACAGACGUAAAACUGGUUAACAUGAUCCUUUUAAAACUGGGAAACAAAGACGCAUGUUCACUUUCUCUUAUGGUUAAACAAUGGCCAGUCAAACCUUAGGGUGGAUAAAAUUGAUUAAUUGCCUUAAGUCAUGGUUAAGCUAUUCCCCGCCUUUAAACCGUCUGAAUUUGUUUGCCUCUCUGAAUUCCGCUGAUUUUUCAUACUAACUUCUGCCAUAUUUUAAAUCACCUCCGUGCAAAUAUUGUUUUACUGAGUUACUCUUCUUCCCAGUCCAGAACUGGAAUACUAUUUGUAAAACUUAUCUGAAUACUAUAUCUUCUGCAAUUUUUAAAACUAUAUUUUGAAUUAUACUUACACAUCCUUUUACACCUCUGGAUAGUUUCAUAUCUGUUUUCUACCUCUCAUUUCCAAAAACUAAUUUAUCAUAUGUAUUAUGUCUUAGCAUGUAUCUUCAAGUGUGUUUAAAAUGUUUUCACUCCGAUUUCUAAACUGUUACACAAAAACUGCCUUUUCUCAAGUCCCAAAAGUUUUCAUCCAACUCUUUUCUGUUAAUUUUGUUUAAAACCUUUUAGCUGUCAUUCUAAAUAUAUUUUCGACACUCCAGCUUUUGAAAUUCUCCCUUUCUCAAACCUUAAAUGUGAUUGAGACGUGCUAAUUAUGUGUUUAUCCAUGGAGGGGUAGUUGAGCCUUUUUGUAUGCCUUUAUAUCACCCCAUUACGUGUAGUCCUAUUUGUUUUUUGUAUGUCGCCUAGCAUUUUAACCUUUAUACUUAAGGGUUCCACCUAGUUCCUACCUCAUAGGAAUAGAGAUCCUAAAUGCUCUCUAGGAUCUAUAGGAUGGUACGGGUAAUAGCACGCAAUAAGUCUUCGUGACCAAUCCACAAGCUUAAAUAACCUUACGGGGUGGGAGGGUAGAAUAUGGAGAUGAUGAUGAUGCGAUAAUAUCAUAAAGCGACCCCUCUUUGGGAUAUGUGGAUAUUGUAUCAAAUGAUCCAUAUUAUAGUUAAACCUAGAACCCUUCUCUCUUUUGAUUGCUUUAAUUAAUUGUUCUUCUAUAGUAAUGCUUUUCCAAAUCAAUCCUCUCUUUUAUUUACAAAUGUACGUCCUUCCUUUUCUUUAAAGCUUUUUCAAGUUGUGUGAAUGCUAUAUGUGUGAACCUUACUUGUUUAAUUACUUCAUCUGUUUAUGAAGUCAUGAUUAAUACGGUCGGGAACCACACUAGUGAAUCUUGAGGGGUGCCUAACACCUUCCCCUCGAGAUAAUCUCAAGCCCUUACCCGAACUCUAGUUUUCUUCUCAAAAUACUCUCUUCUUAAAGUGUCAUAAUGCACUAUAAUCAUUAGGUGGCGACUCUUCAAAUUCCAUAACCUAACUCCCAAAAGGGAAUGAGAGUUGUUUAGUCAAUAAUGUCAUAAAACCCGAUUUCACUUUUCCUUGAGAAAAAGGGGCGUCGACAGCAUGGCGACUCUGCUGGGGACUUUUUUAGGAUUUUACCAUUACGUGUUUCGUGGCUUUAUUGCUUUCUUUACUACCUUUAUUUAUUUCUUCAAUCAGUUCUCCACAAUUACUAACCUGUUUCUUCGUGUCUUCUUUUUUCUUUAACUGUUUUACUGCUUUAUUACCUCACUUUAUUUCAAUUCCGUCUUAAAUUAUGAGCAUUUAUUGUGAUCAUUAUUGCAUGAACGUGAAAAUACGUGUACUUAUUUCAUUUUUGUAAUUUCAUCCAACAUCAUUUUCCACUCGUGCCAAAAAAAUCCUAUAGCAACGCUUGUAAUGAGUGGUUGCGCUCUUCCAUUAUUACAAACCCCUUAAAUUUGACAAAGGCAUAUUUGCGGUAAAACCAGUCGAUUAACGGUAUAGUCGUUGGUUUCGUGCCUUUCCCUCUUGAGUUGUCCGCUCAAGGGUACCUUGUCUAGCACUUCAAAUAGAAGCCUUAAUCUAUUUAAAUAUUCAUGAAUCAUCGUCAAACUUAGCCGAGUCAGUUAUGUUGUCUGCAUAAUGACUAAUUACGAUAGCCUAAACCAAAAAGUCCAUCGGGUUUCCUCGAAACCCAAACGGAUAUUCACGUUAUGUGCAUUGAUUUGGAGAAUUAAAUACCUUUUGCUAAGUAUUGAUUUUUUAUAUUUCUGCUCUCUUUCCCUCUUGAGUUGUCCGCUCAAGGGUACCUUGUCUAGCACUUCAAAUAGAAGCCUUAAUCUAUUUAAAUAUUCAUGAAUCAUCGUCAAACUUAGCCGAGUCAGUUAUGUUGUCUGCAUAAUGACUAAUUACGAUAGCCUAAACCAAAAAGUCCAUCGGGUUUCCUCGAAACCCAAACGGAUAUUCACGUUAUGUGCAUUGAUUUGGAGAACUAAAUGACUCUUGCUAAUUAUUUAUUUAAAUAGUCGAGUCCAGUGGGGUUAAGGGCCUAACUCUGUAUUUUGCAGGAAAUGAGGCACGAGGUCCCCAUAUUUGGUAUGGUAUCAAACAUUCAUCCAAAGUUGCUAAGCUGGUGGGAUGAUUUGUAUGGUAGUGAUCGGGUUCUUGGCCGCAAGAACUUAGGAAAUCUUCCUUCACUACUAGAAGAUAGGCCAUAUAACAAGAUUGUGGAAGCUGAUACUAUAUUUAGUGAACGGUCUGUCUUCCGCUUUGGGAGUAUUAAAAUGACGCCGCUAUUGGAAGAAAUUGGGGGUCUAGCCGGAAUUUCUUGGGAUAGCCCGGGGCUGCUUAUGCCAGAAAACUAUUCUUGUCCACAAGCACUUAGGAAUUCUUCCUUCACUCCUGAAAGUUAGGCUAGAUAACAAGAUUGUGGAAGUUGCUACUAUGUUUUGGGAUAGUGAACCGUCCGUCUUCCGCUUUGAAGGUAUUGAAAUGACGCCGCUAUUGGAAGAAAUUAGGGGUCUAGCCGGAAUUCCUUGGGAUAGCCCGUGGUUGCUUUUGCCGAAAAACCACAAAGGUAGAUGGUUCUUGAAAAUGAAGGGGCUCAAAAAGAAACCUAAUCUGACCAGUCUGAAAGACUCCUACAUAUCCUUCGACUUCUUGUGUGAAAGGUUCAGACAUAGCAAGUCAUACCGCAAUCACAUGGACGAGUUCGCCCUCACCUUUUUGGGGAACAUACAUGAAAGGUUUGGACAUAGGAAAUCCUACCGCACUCACAUGGAUGAGUUCGCCUUCACCUCUUUGGGGCACAUACAUAGGAGAGCCUUUGUAUUCAUGUUUUGUUUCCUGGUCAUGAUAGUUUUUCCGAUGAAGAAGGCAAGAAUCCAUACAAGGCUAGCCAUGGUAACCAAAGCCGUAAUGGAGGGUAUCGAUGUGCAGACAUUCAGCAUAGCACCGAUGAUCCUCGCCGAACUGUACCGAGCCGUAGAAAAAUGUCAACAAGGGGCACCGCACUUUGAAGGGUGCAAUUUGCUACUACAACUCUGGCUCAUUGAACAUCUUCAGAAGGGAGAUUAUAGACAAGAGAUCAUACGACGUGAUUGGGAUGACCAUAUCUCUUUCCAUCAUCCAAAGUGAAUGCACUUCAUGCCGAAUACGUUCGCUCGCCCGGAAGAUUCCACUGGAUGGGUAGAACUAUUGGAGAAUCUGAGAGAAGAGCAGGUACAAUGGAUGUACGAGUGGUUUCCAACUUGAGAGUUUAUCAUUCGGUCUAGGGAUGCGCCAUUCCUUGGACUCAUCGGCUUAAGAGGAACUUACCAUUAUGUCCCUCUCCGAGUCAUGAGGCAAGAGGGAAGGAAGUAGAUUAUUCCAAGGGUGGAAAAGAUGAGUCACUACAUGGCUGACUUCCAAGAUGACGAUAGCCCAAACAGGUGUCGGGCUCAGCAUAUGUGCCAUUCCAAACUUAUUUUGGAAAAGGAAUCCAUAGAUCCAGACAGGUAUCAGGCGGGGCAUGCACCAUUUUAUCCGAGGUGGCUAGAAAACGAUCAUAUUGGCUUGGGAAAAACAGGUUUCGUCCAAGGUCACAGGGUUAUUGAUGAUGAGACUGCAGCAAAGGUUAAAUAUAAUCAGCUGCGCAAACGGAUGCGAGAGUGUGAAAGUGAACAUCGGGAAAUGCUAGAGGCCCAAGAAAAGGUAAUCAAUCAGUGGAAAGACAUGGCUGUCGUGCAAACAACCGUUUAGGGUACUUGGAACGGGGUUUAGUGGAGCUAGAAGGCAAGUUUCUGAAAAGGAUCAACGACUGUCAGGAAUAAUGAGUGGAAAGACAUGACUGUCUGUGCAAAUAACCGUUAAGGGUACUUGGAACGGGGUCUAGUGGAGCUGGAAGGCAAGUUUCUGAAAAAGAUCAACGCCUGUCAGGAAGCUGAAGGCAACGAAGGUGGGCACUUGGCUCGGGCUUACUUAUUGGUGGGACUGCGCGAGCUGAUGAAACUGUACGAGGGAGGAAAAGAUGUCGAAUUUGGGGAAGGUCCUUUUGGGACCAAGUAGUUAGGAUUUUACUGCUUUCUUGAUAUAAUAAGGCCCUUGGCCGUUACUGACAAUCUCUCUUUAUUUCAGUCUGUUUUGACUCGUUCUAUUUUCUAUCGAUAAAAUGAGGUACUUGGUAUUAUAAGUUCUCCAAAUCAUAUCUGUCGCUAGGCCUACCUCGAGCACAAUGUGACACCCAAAUAGGAAACAACUUAUAUUCUGCAACAACAUGUUUAAAUACCGCAAUGUUUUCUUUUUCAGAAUCCGCACUAACUUUUUACCUUUUUUGUUUUUCUUUUAUUUUUAUUCCCCUCCCUAAAGGUUAGUUCAUGCAUUCUGGCACCAUCAGCAUAUUCAACAAGAUCUAAGGGUCCUCCUCCUCCUCCUCAUCCGAGUCCUCCCAGAAACAGGAACAAAGGAAAGAUGGGAGAGAAUGAAGCAAUGAAGGAAAUUGAAGGAACUUCCCAAGGUACCCCGAUCACCAAAGAAACUGCUGCUCUCUUGGAGCAAACUUUGCUAAGGUUCCGAGAGGAACUGGACCAGGUCCAGAGUUUGGCAAGCUUGUCCAUCUCCCUUGCUGCUGCAGAUGUCAACUACCAGGUCCCUGCACCCCCACAGAAGAUCCCAACCCAAGCUCGCAAAAAUGCUCCACCGCUCAUCCCGGAGCCCCAAAAUGCUCCAAACCACCAAGAUGCCCCUAUCUUUGUGGGUACUAUGCCAUACAAUCAGAUGUGUUAGAAUCAGACUCACUCAUUCAAAACUUGGCAGCUGAACUUGAGAAACUCACUAGCAGGGUUCAAGGCGUGGAAGGUAAUAAAGGUGUAGAGGGUCUAAAUUAUGAAGACAUUUGUGUUCAACCUGAUGUCGAACUCCCAGAGGGGUACAAACCUCCUAAGUUCGAGAUGUUUGAUGGUACUGGUGAUCGCAAGGUUCACCUCAGGAUGUAUUGUGACAAAUUAGUGGGAGUUGGUAGAGAUGAAAAGAACCGCAUGAAACUGUUCAUGAGGAUCUGGAAAGGUGAUGCUUUAUCUUGGUAUAUCAGCCAAGAUGCGAAGAAGUGGACGACUUGGGUAAACAUGGUGUCCGAUUUCAUGGACCGUUUCAUAUUCAAUACUGAGAAUGCACCAGACGUGUUCUAUAUCCAGAAUUUGAAGAAAAAGCCCACCGAAACCUUUCGCGAGUAUGCUACUCGUUGGUGGUUGGAAGCUGCCAAGGUCAGACCAACUUUGGAAGAAGAACAAAUGAACAGAUUUUUCGUCCGUGCUCAGGACCCACAAUAUUACGAGAGAUUGAUGUUGAUAGAAGGGCAGAAGUUCGCUGAUAUCAUCAAACUGGGAGAAAGGAUUGAAGAGGGGAUAAAAAAUGGUAUAGUUACUAACCUUAAGGCAUUGCAGGCCACCAACAAAACCUUACAAUCUGGUGGUACGUCGAAGAAAAAGGACGUAAACUCCGUAAUGACUGCGCAGAGAAACCACUCUCCCAUGAAAUAUCAACUUUACCCUCCAACCCCAUUCACAUACCAACCCUCUCUAAAUUACUAGGCAGCUUCACCUACCUAUCAAAAUCCACAUCCCGUCUACCAAACAUCCCCAUCACCAACGUAUCAGCCCAGCUCGCCAAGAUAUUCCCAACCCGAACUCGUAUACCAAGCUUACAAUGUUCAACCUCCUCACUAUCCAUCACCGCCAACCCGCCAAAUCUUCCCACGACCAAGACAAAACUUUGACCGCAAACUGCCCAAACAGUACACCGCUAUUGCCGAACCCAUUGACCAACUAUACGAGAAGCUCAAAGCCGUUGGAUAUGUUACACCCAUCCUGGAAGUAACCGCCAAAAACCCCUCCCAAUGUAUCAACCCAAAUAAAACCUGCACAUACCAUUCGGGGAUGAAGGGCCAUACCAUGGACGAGUUGAAGGAAAUUCAGACCUUAGUUGACAACAAGGUCAUCGUAGCUAAAGAAACUACUCCCAAUGUUCACAACAGCCCUCUACCAGACCAUAAAGGUGGACGCAUCAACAUGAUUGAGGUUGAAGACGACUGGGACCCCGAAGGUUCAAUCGGUUUGAUAUCUGAAGGAGAUGAGCCCAAGAACCAUCGGUCACUCUUAAUCCUAUUGUUGUGCAAAUCCAGCCAUCUCUAGGUAGCAUGGUUAAUAUAUCUGUACCAUUUGAAUUCGAGGCACCUCUUAUAAAAGUGCCAAAACCAAUUAAGGUGGAGUUCGGGACUCCAAAGGCGCCCGCACCAAUUGAAGUAGCUAUGUUACCUCCAAGGGUGCCCAUUCCAGUCCCCAUGUCAGACAUAGCCCCAUUUUAGUCAAAUUCCAUACCCUGGGACUACACAGCCGAGGCGAGAAGGAAAGGAAAAGCACGUACGGGUGAAGCAAUCACUGUGCAAGGUAUGACUAGAACAGGAAGGGUGUACAAACCAUAGCACAUAGCUGAGUCCAGCAAGCAGGCCUCUAGACGUCCCAUUAAAGCUGGACCUGAUGAUCUUUUUGAGGAAGAUACAGGCUAAAGAAUAUUUAGUUAUUGAACAACUAAACAAGACUCUGGCACAUAUUUCCAUCUUGGCAUUGCUGCAGAGUUCCGAGGCGCAUAAAAACGCCUUGAUGAAGAUAUUAAGCGAGGCUUAUGUCCCGAGCAACAUAACAGGAGGAGAGAUGGCGAACAUGAUAGGACAGGAAUUGGAAAGUCACAAAAUCACUAUCCACGAGGAUGAAUUACCAACUUAAGGGCCCGGCCAUAACAAAGCACUACACAUCACUGUGCGAUGUGAAGAUCAUUUCAUCACCAGGAUCAUAGCCGACGGAGGUUCUAGCCUCAACAUUUGUCCAUUGAUCACCCUCAAGAAGUUGGGCAAAGGAUUGCAUGAGAUAAAAGAUGGCGCUAUUAACGUUAAGGAUUUUGAUGGUUCUCAGAGGUCCACCCUCGGGGAGAUUAGCCUGUAUUUGCAAAUGGGUCCCACUUGGUUUGAUGUUGAAUUCCAAGUCAUCGACGUACCAGCAUCUUACAACUUACUACUGGGACGACCCUGGAUCCACACCGUUGGGGCUGUGACAUCGACCUUACAUCAGCCCGUGAAGUUCGAGUGGAACCAUCAGGAAGUGAUCAUCCACGGCAACGAUAGCAACCCCAUCUACAGUCGCCAGACCAUUCCGAUGGUCGGAGGCAGAAGAAGAAUAGACGGAGAAACAUAUUGAGCGAAUAAACGCAGUGGACAAGGACAAAUGGUGGAGUAACAAGGUCGAGAACAUUUUAAAUUGGAGUGGGUAUAAACCAGGGAAAGGACUUGGUAAGAAUCUUCAAGGUAUCACCAAACCUAUCCAGUUGAAGAAGCAUGGUACUACCUUCGGACUGGCGUACGACUACACUUGGCAGGAAUUCAAAAACUAGUCACCACCAUGGCGCGGCCCAUUUUACCCAUUGGAACGCCCCAUACCUCAGUUGGAGCAGACAUUUCAACCAGCCGACACUCUCUANNNNNNNNNNNNNNNNNNNNNNNNNNNNNNNNNNNNNNNNNNNNNNNNNNNNNNNNNNNNNNNNNNNNNNNNNNNNNNNNNNNNNNNNNNNNNNNNNNNNNNNNNNNNNNNNNNNNNNNNNNNNNNNNNNNNNNNNNNAUAGAAGACGAGGCUCUUGCGGCGAUGAAGAACCUGUUUCUGGAGAACAUGGACUGUUGUAUGAUUUUUGAAGAGGAAGAGGAAGAAGGCCCUUCCAUCCAGGUUGCGAACCGAGGGGAGCACCUCACCAACUAGUCAAUCAGGACCACCAUCGCCUGGAAACCUUCGGGGUAGCAAGGUUGAACAAGCAUCAUGCAUCUUUGUUUAAGUUGUUUUCUUUAUUUUCCGCAUUGUCUUUAUUUUUCAAAAGAGCUCCGGUGUUUUGAACAUUAAUGAAUUUAAUCAAAAGCAUUUUUUCCAGUUUAUCAAACAUCACGCUAUUCAUUACUUUUCUCUGCUAUUUACUUUAUUUCCACACAACAUUAAUAUUACGUAUCUUGAUGAUGAACCAACAACUGUAACUUGCAACGAGGCUAUGCAACAAACGGACAUAGACUCAGAGGAGGAGGAUAUACCAGAAGAGGUUGUCAGAGAAGCCGAGAAUUUUGAAAAUAGACUUAUGUCCAACUUGGAUGAAACUGAGGUCGUCAAUUUGGGAGAUACAUAGAAUGUCAAAGAAACGUCCAUCGGUGUGCACUUGUCACAGAUAGAGAAAGAGGGAUAUACAGAGUUCUUGAGGGAAUAUGAGGAUAUUUUUGCAUGGUCUUAUGAUGAUAUGAAUGGUAUCAGUACAUCCAUUGUCGCUCACAAGUUGCCGACAGAUCCUGCAUGUCCGCCGAUAAAAUAGAAGCUCAAAAAUUCAAGCUAGAUAUGAGUUUAAAAAUCAAAGAAGAGGUCACCAAGCAGGUCAAAGCCAGAGUUCUUCAAGUGGUAGAGUAUCCAACUUGGUUAUCUAACAUUGUGCCAGUACCGAAGAAGGAUGGGAAAGAUAGAGUCUGUGUCGACUACCGGGAUCUCAACUGGGCCAAUCCCAAAGACAAUUUCCCCUUGCCAAACAUACACAUUCUGAUCAACAACUGCGCCAAGCAUGAAUUGCAGUCAUUCGUCAAUUACUUCGCGGGGUACCAUUAGAUAUGGAUGGAUAAAGAAGAUGCAGAGAAAAAGGCGUUUAUCGCACCUUGGGGAAUGUAUUGCUACAGAAUGAUGCCAUUCGGGUUGAAGAAUGCGGGAGCUACUUACNNNNNNNNNNNNNNNNNNNNNNNNNNNNNNNNNNNNNNNNNNNNNNUGGGUUGAAGAAUGCGGGAGCUACUUACAUGAGGGCCAUGACUACCCUAUUUCAUGAAAUGAUACAUAAAGAGAUCGAGGUAUGUGUGUACGACAUCAUCAUUAGGUCCAGGAAAGCUGCGGAUUAUAUGGGGGACCUCCGAGUUUUUAAACAGACUAAGGAGGUGUAACUCGAAACUGAAUCCCGCCAAGUGUGCAUUUGGGGUCCCUGCGGGAAAGCUAUUGGGUUUCAUGGUAAGUCGCCGAGGAAUAGAGUUGGAUCCAUUAAAGGUCAAAUCUAUUCAAGAGUUGCCACUGCCGAAGAGCAAGAAAGAGGUAAUGAGUUUCCUAGGAAGGCUCAACUAUAUAAGUCGGUUCAUAGCACAGUCUACCCUCAUCUGCGAACCUAUCUUCAAGAUGCUGAAGAAGGAUGCCGCCACCAAAUGGACAGAUGAAUGUCAAAAGGCUUUUGACAGGAUCAAGGAUACGCCUCCAGUCCUGGUUCCACCUAAGCCUGGGAGGCCCUUAUUGCUCUAUCUCGUCUUUGACAGGAUCAAGGAAUACUUGUCUACACCCCCAGUCCUGGUUCCGCCUGAGCCUGGGAGGCCCUUUUUGCUCUAUCUCGCAGUUUUGGAUGGAGCAUUUGGUUGUGUCUUGGGACAGCAUGAUGAGAUGGGGGGAAAGGAGCAAGCUAUUUACUACCUCAGCAAGAAAUUUACCCCGUACGAGGCUCGGUAUUCCUUGGUAGAACGCACCUGUUGUGCUUUGACCUGGAUAGCUUAGAAGUUGAGGUAUUAUUUCCGUGCUUACACUACCUAUCUUAUAUCAAGAAUGGAUCCGCUAAAGUAUAUUUUUCAGAAGCUCAUGCCCAAUGGCAAGAUCGCCAAGUGGCAAAUUUUGUUGAGUGAAUUUGACAUUGUCUAUGUCACCUAGAAGGCAGUCAAAGGACAGGCUUUGUCAGAUCAUCUCGCAGAAAAUCCUAUCGAAAGGGAGUAUGAACCGGUGAAGACGUAUUUUCCCGAUGAGGAAAUAGCUUUCAUAGGAGAGGAUGUUGCACAAUCCUAUGACGGGUGGAGGAUGUUUUUUGAUGGAGCCGCAAAUUUCAAAGGAGUUGGUAUCAGAGCAAUCCUGGUAUCGGAAAUCGGUCAGCACUACCCGGUUUCCACCAAGCUCAGGUUCUCGUGCACCAAUAAUAUGGGUGAGUACGAAGCUUGCAUCUUGGGGCUCAAAGUGGCCAUUAACAUGAACAUUCAGGAGCUGGUAGUGAUAGGAGACUCAGACCUACUCAUACACCAGGUUCGAGAAGAGUGGGCAACCAAGAAUUCCAAGAUACUUCCUUAUCUGCACCACAUACAGGAGUUGAGAAAGAGGUUCAGAAAAAUGGAAUUCCAGCACGUUCCAAGAAUACAGAAUGAGUUCGCAGAUGCGCUUNNNNNNNNNNNNNNNNNNNNNNNNNNNNNNNNNNNNNNNNNNNNNAUACAGAAUGAGUUCGCAGAUGCGCUUGCCACUUUAUCAUCCAUGAUUCAGCAUCCAGAUACAAACUUCAUCGACCCUAUCCAGGUCAGGAUUCAUGAUCAACCGACAUAUUCUGCACAUGUUGAGGAAGAGGCCGACAGAAAACCCUGGUUCCACGACAUCAAAGAGUACCUAACAACAGGAGAAUAUCUAGAGCUUGCUAAUGCUACUCAGAAGCACACGCUUCGAAGGUUGUCCAACAAUUUCUUUCACAACAGAGGAAUCUUGUAUAGGAGGACUCCCAAUUUGGGACUAUUAAGGUGUGCCGACGCGACAGAAGCAACCAAGUUAUUGGAGGAAGUGCACUCACGGACUUGUGGGCCACACAUGAACAGUUUUGCUCUUGCAAAGAAGAUACUCCGAGCAGGAUAUUUCUGGAUGACUAUGGAAACAGAUUGCAUUCAGUAUGUCCGGAAGUGUCACCACUGUCAGAUACAUGUGGAUAGGAUAAAGGUACCUCCGAACUAGCUCACUACAACGAGCUCCCCAUGGCCGUUCGCCGCUUGGGGAAUGGAUGUUAUUGGACCAAUCGAGACUUCCGCAUCAAACGGAUAUAGGUUCAUCCUAGUGGCAAUUUAUUACUUUACUAAAUGGGUCGAAGCAGCAUCAUACAAAGCAGUAACUAAGAAAUUCGUGGAAGACUUUGUCCGAGAUCGUAUUGUCUGUCUAUUCGGUGUUCCAAAGUCGAUCAUCACUGAUAAUGAUUCCAAUCUCAACAACGACUUGAUGAAAGCGAUGUGUGAAACUUUCAAAAUCAGGCACAGAAAUUCUACGACUUAUAGACCUUAGAUGAAUGGACCUGUGGAAGCAGCCAAUAAGAACAUCAAUAAAAUACUAAGGAAAAUGAUCGAAAGGAAUAAUAAAUGGCAUGAGAAGUUGUCAUUUGUUUUAUUGUGUUAUUGACUAAAAUUCGCACAUCAACCAGAGUGACCCCCGACAUGCUGGUUUAUGGAACUGGAAAAAGAAUGAAUGCGGUUUGCCACGGUCAGUUGUGUUAGAACAGAAUGUCCAGACCUUCAACAAGAGAGUUCGACCAAGGAAGUUCACACCAAGACAACUGGUGUUAAAGAAGAUAUUCCCACAUCAAGAUGAAGCCAAGGGAAAAUUCACUCCCAACUGGAAAGGUCCAUACAUGGUUCACCAGGUUCUAACUGGAGGAGCCCUUAUUCUUGCAGAAAUGAAUGGAGAAAUCUAGCCAAAACCGAUCAACUCAGAUGCAGUGAAGAGAUACUACUUUUAAUCAAUAUUCUUUUUCUUUAUGAUGUAAUUUGAACUACGCCUGACCUAAUUCCCGUUUAAGAGGGGACACGUGGGCAGCCCUAUGGGUUCGGUCACAUCUUUAAUAAAAUUCCAUUUUCCCCUGCAUUUGGAACUGGGGAAAAAAUUUUAUGUCAAUUUUCGUAUCAACAUCGACCUAGUAAAUUGGGGUAGAAUUUUGAGGAGGACCCUCAAAAUUCUAAGGUCAAUCCGUUUUCAGUCAUUCAGCACCGCCAUCAACAGUGCCAGCCCAGUGAACUGGCGCCUCAAAAUUCCGGAGCCAGCAAGGUUGUCGUGCUUCGAACCACAUUGAAGUUGUGGUUCAUCAUAAAACAAAAUUAUCUUUUCUUUACUUAUACUUAUACAUUUGCAUCACGAUUGCCAAAAUUUGCAUAAAAUCAUUUGAUCACUAUCGUUCAGCAACACUACCCCAAAUGGUACAAGACGCCACGAGUUGAUGGAUGCGAAUUAACCUCCCCCUUACAGAACUCACAAUCUUUCUUUGGAUGUAGGAAUCUAGAAUACAAAUAGGCGAUGCAUACACUUUACAAAAAAGAAGUUCCCGAAGCCACUACUUACCUCGCAAAGGUUUACUAUCUACAUUAAACACUUUCCCUGCAGCCAUGACAUUGCAAUCAUUUACCUGCUAAGAAAUCACCACCAUCCUCUCCUUUAUAUUUAUGCAUUUUUCGAUACUAAGCUCUGUCUCCAUCUGCAUUUUUUCAUUGCAUAAGGCUACUCUCUGCCUUUCGAGGCUAAGCUCUGCCUCCAUCCUGCAUAAGGUUGUUCUCUGCCUUUCGAGACUAGGCUCUGUCUCCAUCCGCAUUUUUGCAUUGCAUAAGGCUAUCUUCUGCCUUCCGAGGUUAAGCUCUACCUCCAUCUUGAAUAAGGCUAUUCUCUGCCUUUCGAGACUAAGCUUUGUCUCCAUCUGCAUUUUUGCAUUGCAUAAGGCUAUUCUCUGCCUUCCGAGGCUAAGCUCUGCCUCCGUCCUGCAUAAGGCUAUCCUAUGCCUACCUCUAUCUUGCAUAAGGCUAUUCUCUGCCUUUCGAGACUAAUCUCUGUCUCCAUCUGUAUUUUUGCAUUGCAUAAGGCUACUCUCUGCCUUCUGAGGGUAAGCUCUACCUCCAUCAUGCAUAAGGCUAUUCUCUGCCUUUCGAGACUAAGCUCUGUCUCCANNNNNNNNNNNNNNNNNNNNNNNNNNNNNNNNNNNNNNNNNNNNNNNNNNNNNNNNNNNNNNNNNNNNNNNNNNNNNNNNNNNNNNNNNNNNNNNNNNNNNNNNNNNNNNNNNNNNNNNNNNNNNNNNNNNNNNNNNNNNNNNNNNNNNNNNNNCUACCUCUCCUGUCCAAAAACUUUCUCCAUCUGCAUUUUUGCAUGGCAUAAGGCUACUCUCUCCCUUCCGAGGUUAAGCUCUACCUCCAUCUUAAAUAAGACUAUCCUCUGCCUUCCGAGGUUAAGCUCUACCUCCAUCCUGCAUAAGGUUGUUCUCUGCCUUCCGAGGCUAAGCUAUGUCUCCGUCUUGCAUUUUUGCAUAAGGUUAUUCUCUGCCUUCCGAGGUUAAGCUCUACCUCCAUUCUGCAUAAGGCUAUUCGCUGCCUUUCGAGACUAAGCUCUGCCUCCGUUUUGCAUUUUGCGCUAAGCUCUACCUCCUUUAUUUUUCAUUUUUGGCUGAAAGAUCGCCACCCGGUUUCAUUUGGCUGAUAUAUCACCGCCCUGCAUUUUAAAUUCCUACUCGGCAUAAGGCUAUUCUCUGCCUUUCGAGACUAAGCUCUGUCUCCAUCUGCAUUUUUGCAUGGCAUAAGGCUACUCUCUGCCUUCCGAGGUUAAGCUCUACCUCCAUCUUAUACAAGACUAUCCUCUGCCUUCCAAGGUUAAGCUCUACCUCCAUCCUGCAUAAGGUUGUUCUAUGCCUUCCGAGACUAAGCUCUACCUCCUUUAUUUUUCAUUUUUGGCUGAAAGAUUGCCACCCGGUUUCAUUUGGCUAAAAUAUCACCGCCCUGCGUUUUAAUUCCUUCUCGGCUGAAAGAUCGCCACCCCUUUGCAUUCAUUCGGCUAAAAUAUUGCCACCUUUUCAUUGGCUGAAAUAUCUCCAACUUAUUCCAAUGCGUCAUAGUUCGGAGGCACCAUCCGCACAGCUCGAGAACACCAUUUCAUGGCCUACGAGUCUUUACUUUAUGCUCUUCAUAGCCCACGACACCAUAGUCUAAUGACGCUAUCCUAAUCAUCUGAAGACAGCAUUCAUGAUCCAAUGGGAACUUGCAUCACGUUUAAGUUAUGCAAAAUAUCCGCACACCGUUCAUUUGCAGGUACAUCGGUCGAAAUGGCCACCUCAGCAGGAGAGAUCCCGCUCUAGUUCUCCGCAGCCGUGCGAUCGAAAUCCCCGAACCCUUGACAAAUCUCAAACCCCGUUGUGUUCGCUUUUUCCGAAAUUGUCAUUGGCGUAUACCGCCAAUGGUUCCUGAACUACAUACGACCCGAGUCCUGUAAAACCAAGGAUAUGUAGGCAGCUCAGAAAUCGGAGCAUGGUCAAAAUCCUUUUACAAUCGCCAAUUCUAGGCAAAAUUGGCCAUCUUAUCUUUACCCGACAACUCUUUCAUCCUCCUCGAGCAAAGAGGGGCAACUGUUGAUACCGAAUUUUUCCUUAUAUAUAUAUAUUUCACCCAAAUAAUUUCAAAAUAGUAUAUGUAUGCAUAUUUUUUACAGUAUAAAGGCCAAAAAUAUUUUUCAAAUGAUUAUUUUUAGUGAAUAAGAUGUUUCAUUCUCGAAUUUACAACAAAAUAUAAUUUAUGUAAUUUUUUCACUUUUUUUACAAAUUUAUUUGAAUUUUGUAAGGCUAAUUGCACAAAAUUGCAAUUAUGGCCAAUUUUGUAAUUAACUAUGUGUCAUAGUUAUAAAAUUAUUUCUAGUAAUUUUAGAUUUAUGUUUAUAUGUUAUUAAUUAGUUCCAUGUUUUUAAUUUUGCUUUUUAAACUAUUUUAGCUAUUUUAUAAAAUUAAUUGGGAGAAAUUGGUUAUUUAAAGGUUAGCCAUAUUUUAUUUGAAAUAUAGCCCAAUUACACCCCUAUUUCAGCCCAAUUUUAACCCAUUUUAAUGACCCAUACCCAUUGGAUUUUACCCGGUCCAGCUCAGCUUUGAUCUGAGCCGUUGAUUAAAUAAGAUCAACGGCCAAGAUUUUAUUUCCUAAAUUAAAUUGAAUGACCCCUCCCCAACCCCUCAUUCACACAUACCAGUCACUCUCUCUCUAACAAAUGCUUCUCCUUCGCUCUAGAACCUUCUGGUUCCUUCUUCUUCGAUGAAGUCCAUUGCCUCUCUGGACAUACUCCUCCCUCACUUCUCUCGACCUCUAGUAGCCAUGGAAUCCUUAUAUCGUUGUUUUCUCUCUAAAGCUUGAAGCCCAGAAGUUUCCGCCAUGAAAGAUGGUCAUUGAAGCUUCGCCUGGGUCUAUCUCCGGCUUUUUCUCCGGUGGUUUUUAUCUGAUGAUGCCUUUUAUGGCAUUAUAUACGAGUUUCACGACCAGGUUUUUCAUUUUCCCUAAUUUAUUGCAAACCCUAAUUUUUCUACUCGAACCUCUUUAAUCUCUGCUCUUUUAAAACAACUCUCAGUUUGAUUUUGUUUUCUACACUAUUUUUUACUUAGUGUUUCCAGUUAUUUCAAAUUUCAGAUGGUUACUACUCUUUCAAACUAGGGUUUCUGACCCCUUCUUCAAAAUCGUUUCUCUGCUCUUUCUGAGUACUAUAUGUUCGUUUGCGUUUAUUUGUUUUACUUGUUUGUUUGGUGUCCUUGUUCAUCUGGGUCCAUGCUUUAAUUUUUUCUUGCUAGGGUUUCCGACCCCCUUUCAAGAUCACUACAUCUUAUGCUUCCUUUGAGUAUUAUGUAUGCAUGUAUUAUAUGUUUGUUUUUUUGUUAAGGCAUGUUUGUUUCUGAGUUCCAUGCUUUAAACUUUUUUACUAGGGUUCCAACCCUCUACUCUUAUAUGUUUGUCUUUUGUUACGAGCAUGUUUGUUUUUGAGUUCCAUGCUUUAAACUUUUUAUUAGGGUUCCAACCCUUUACUCUUCUAUGAUUUCUUGCAAAAUGUUCUCUAAUUUUUCACGCUUAUUGUGUUUAUAGGUCUAAUUGUUAUUCGAAUGAUUCUGUGCAUCUCCUUGAAUCCCUAAUAUGUAUGUGUUUUCCUUAAAGGUUCUUACACUCUCUGAUCACCUUGUUCCUCUGUGCACUAUUGUUAUUGUGGUCAAUUACUUGCAACUGGUAUGUCAUCCCUUUGAAAUAUAGUUUCCACAACUACAUGUUUCUAUUAAUUUUGCAUUUCAUAAUAUUUCUUGUGUGCUUUUACGUAUGGUUUUGUUGUUCUCUUUGUCACUAGCAUGUCACUUACUAGUCUAUUUUUUUCAACUUAACAUGCUCUCUUACCCCUUCCCCUGUCUCAAUGAAUGUUUACUUUUCCUUGUGUACUACUGCCAUGCAUCCAUGUCUGUUUGGCUACUUAAUUAACCUAAAACCUCUAUUGAGGCUAAGUGUAUUAGAGAUUGGCAUAGUAAGAACUGAACUUUUGUUUUGCAACCAUGUCUGGUUACUCUCUUCCAAUGUGUUGCCUGUGUGAUUAGUUUACUUUGCUUAUUUGUUCCCUUCCGCUUUGCCCUUAUUUGUGUGAUGCUCUGUUGUUCUAAAACUGGUCAGUCUAAAUGAUUUCAAAAGAACUUUUGCAACUCUUCCAACUGUUUUCUUGAACUCUCUCAAUUCUUUCAACUACUUUCUCAAACUGUCUCUCAACUGUUUUCGACUCUCUCAAACUUUAUCACAAUGUCACUACUCUUAGAAAUUAGGUUUUGCCCCCUUAGUGUAUGCAUUUCUUUGGGAGCCCUGAGCCACCACUGAACUUUGAUGCAUAAGGCUGGCAAUUCCACACUUGCACUUGUCUAAUUAUGAUAUUUUGGGUGCUUGGUAUUGGCCAUUGAACUUUGAUGCACAAGACUGGCAAUUCCACACUUGUGUAACUAUGAUGUUAUGGGUUCUUGGUAUUGGCCAGGGGUUCAAACGAACCCUUAGGGAACUUUGCUGCACCCAAGCCUUGGUAAUGACUGUGAAACUCGAAAGAAGUGAGGUUGGAGAUCUUUGCCCCAUCUGUAGGCUCCCUAUAGAAUAUCUUUUUUUAUCACUGUUGUAUUUUUAAAUUACUUGGUCAUUAAUAACUUGUAAAGAAUAAUGGGGUUUAUAGUGAAAUUGCGAGGGUUAUGCACUCUUAGUCAAGGGGAAUGGGUAGAAAACAUGUUUAUAGGACUUUACUUACCUAUUUACGCAAUAGAAAUCAUGUUUAGGACAUGCAUCUUACAUGUAGGAAUCCUGUUCCCAGGUCUCUUACUUUCAGCUUGUUAUUUUGCCUAUUUUUAUAAUCACAAUCAGUUAAUAAUCAAGUUACUUCCAUUUCAUCUAGAUACCAUGUUUUAGGGCCUUUAUAUGCAUUAGAUAUAAUGUACUUAGGGUUUUUUAUUUGCAACUGUUGGAUGCCUCACUAAUUUUGUUAAAGAGGCGUAAAAAUGGCUAACAGGUUCCUUUUAAAACUGGGAAACAAACACGCAUGUUCACUUUCUCUUAUGGUUAAACAAUACAUAGGCAAACCUUAGGGUGGAUAAAAUUGAUUAAUCGCCUUAAGUCAUGCUUAAGCUAUUCCUCCUAUUUAAACCGUCUGAAUUUGUUUGUCUCACUGAAGUCCGCUGAUUUUUUAAACUAAUCUCUGCCCUAUUUUCAAUCACCUCCGUGCAAAUAUUUUUUACUGAGUUACUCUUCUUCCCAGUAUAGAACUAGACUACUAUUUUCUUAAACUUAUCUGAAUACUAUAUCUUCAGCAAUUUCCAAAAAAACUAUAGCUCGAAACUAAUAUACUUACACGUUCUUUUACACCUCUAGAUAGUUUCACAUCUAUUUCCUACCUCUCCUGUCCGAAAACUAGUUUAUCAUAUGUGUUUUGUCUUAUCAUGUAUCUUCAAGUGUGUUUAAAAUGUUUUCCCUCCGAUUUCUAAACUGUUACACAUCUACUGCCUUUUCUUAAGUCCCAAAAGUUUUCAUCCAACUCUUUUCUGCGAAUUCUGUUUAAAACUUUUCAGCUGCUAUUCUAAAUAUAUUUUCGACACUCCAGCUUUUAAAAUUCUCCCUUUCUCAGACCUUAAAUGUGAUUGAGACGUGCUAAUUAUGUGUUUAUCCGUGGAGGGAUAUUUGAGCCUUUUAUAUGCCUUUAUAUGAUUCCGUUACAUGUAGUCCUAUUUGUUUUUGUAUGUCGCCUAGUAUUUCUAGCCUUUAACCUUAAGGGUUCCACCUAGUGUAUUUGAGCCUUUUUAUAUGCCUUUAUAUGAUCCCAUUACGUGUAGUCCUAUUUGUUUUUUGUAUGUCACCUAGCAUUUUAACCUUUAAACUUAAGGGUUCCACCUAGUUCCUACCUCAUAGGAAUAGCGAUCCUAAAUUCCAUCUAAGAUCAAUAGGAUAGGACAGGUAAUAGCACGCAAUAAGUAUUCGUAACCAAUCCACACGCUUAAAUAACAUUACGGGGUGGGAACGGUAGAAUAUGGAGAUGAUGACGAUGCGAUAAUAUCAUAAAGCGAACCCUCUUUGGGAUAUGUGCGGAUAUUGUAUCGAAUGAUCCAUAUUAUAGUUAAACCUAGGACCGUUCUCUCUUUUGUUUGCUUUAUUUAAAUGUUCUUCUAUAGUAAUGUUUUUCCAAAUCAAUUCUCUCUUUUAUUUUCAAAUUUACGUCCUUCCUUUUCUUUAAAGUUUUUUCAAGUUGUGUGAAUGUUAUAUGUGUGAACCUUGCUUGUUUAAUUUCUUCAUCUUUUUAUAAAGUCACGAUUAACACGGCCAGGAACCUCACUAGUGGAUCUUGAGGGGUGCCCAACACCUUCCCCUCUAGAUAAUCUCAAGCCCUUACCUGAACUUUGGUUUUAUUCUCAAAAUACUCUCUUCUUAAAGUGUCCUAAUGCACUAUAAACAUUGGGUGGUGACUCUUCAAAUUCCAUAACCCAACUCCCAAACCGGAAUGAGAGUUGUUUCGUCCAUAAUGUCGUAAAACCCGAUUUCGCUUUCCCUAGAAAAAAUGGGGCAUCGACAAGCCUGACAUUUGUUCAAGAGCCUCCACAAAAGGCACAUUAAUGGAUAAGCUCUUCAUCAUAUCAAUAAACUUUUUAAACUGAUUCUCAUUUUUCUGCUUCGCGAGCCUUUGAGGAUAAGGUGGAGGUGGCCUUGGCAAAGGAGCCUUGGCUUUAGGCACAGCCGGCUUCAGCAUGUCUAUUACGUGUUCCCUAUAUGGGUUCACAUCAUUUUGAGUUUCCACCUCAGCAUCUUGAAUAUCAACCCUCACUUCUUCAUUCACGUUCUCAUCAAUGACAUUUUCAACCACGAAAGGGACUUCAUCUUCUUGCAACUCAACAUCAUCAUUCAAACUUUGCUUUUGUUUGGAGGCAUUCACAUCACCGCCUCGUCCACUUCUUGUAUUUACCUCCAUAACAUGGUUGUUACUACCCUUUGGGUUUACUACCGUAUUACUUGGUAGAGCCCCUUAGGGAGAGCAUUCAAAGACUGUGAGAUUCGGCCUAAUUGCACCUCCAAAUUUCUAAUUGAAUUAUUGUGGGAAUACAACUGAGCAUCAGAAUCUGCAGUCUUUUUCAUCAUCUAUUCAAACAUCAUUUCAAUUUUCCCCAUGUCAUUGUUGGAAGAACUAGGACUUUGGGAUGGAAAUGAAGGUGGAUUGUUGGGUUGUUGGUACAUUGGGAGCCUUUGAAAGCCUUGCCCUCGGUUUCCUUGAUCAUUGGUCCAACCACCCUGAUUGUUGUUACCACACCUGUUGUUGUUGUUUCCAUUCCAAUUACCCUAAUUGUUCUAAUUAUUGCUUUGAUUUCCCCAAUUUGAAUUUUGGUUGCUGUUCUCCCAAUUACCAUUUCCUUGUUGUUGUUGAUUGCCCCAAUUGCCUUGGGGUAUUCAUUGUUGUUGGUUGGAAGAAUUGCCCCUUUGGCCUUGAUAGUUGUUCACGUAUUGCACCUCUUUAUUCUGCCCAUCAUAACCAUCAUCUUGGAAUCCACCCCAAUCAUUGUCAAAUUGCUCCGAAUUCCCUUGGUUCGAUUGACCUCUUUAUCUUCUUUUGUUGACUAGCAUGUUGACACCCUCUAUGGAAUUCACUUGGCGAUGAUUUAUAAUUUGUUGUAAUUGUAUAUUUGCUAGUUGGUUCAUUGUAGUUGUCAACUCAGCUAUAGCCUGUCCAUGGUCAUGUAGCUCUUUGUGCAAAUGAGUGUCUGUAGGGUCACCCCUGGGGAACAUUGGCUCUACUUUUCCAAUCAGAAGAAGUAUCAGUCAUCUCGUUAAGAAUGUCACAAGCCUCAUCAUAAGUCAGCUUCUUGAAGUUGCCCCCAGCAAGUUUGUUCACUAUGCACUGGUUUUUUGUGUUAAUACACCGGUAGAAAGUCUGUUGGAUCACCGCCUCAAUAAUAUCAUUAUUGGGCGUUCCUUUACCAUUGUUCUAUAGCGCUCCCAAAUCUCAUGUAAUAGUUCGAUGGGCUCCUGCUUGAGAGGCCAAGAUCUCAUCUCUCAAUCCUGCCAUAUGCCCCGGUGAGAAACAUUUUGCAAUGAACUUGUCCGCUAACUCAUCCCAAAUGGUGAUGCAAUGGUUGGGAACUCACUCAAGCCAAUCCAAUGCCUUCCCUCUAAGUGAAAAAUGGGAAAAGUCUCAACCAAAGUGCAUCCUCACACAUUAGUUUUCUUGCUCCCCCAACAGGUAUCCACAAAACCCUUGAGAUAUUUGUAAGCAUUUUGAUUGGCAGUGCCCGUAAAAUACCCACGCUGCUCCAGCAAUGACAUCAUCACAUAGGUAAUUUGAAAACUGCCCGCCCGGAUCCGGGGUGGGACAAUUGCACUUGCAUAGCCUUGGUUUGGAAGUACUUGAGGAUCCACUAUUAGAGGUGGAGGAGGAGGGUCUGGAAUAUUGUCAUUGGUAUUGGCCCGGUGGCCUCUACGUUGUCCUUGAGGUACAAGAGUCACAUCAUCAUCUCCGACAUCAUCUACCUCCUCCCCCGCAAUAACAUUUCCAAGAGGGUGAUUGAGUUCAUAGACUUAGGCUUUCUUUCUCAAGAAGAGUCAACUAGGUAUAAACUAGUGUUUGUAACCACUAAUUCAACAUUAAAACCCUAAAUUAGUCCAUAUAUCAAACACCCAUAGAAAGUCAAGCCGUAAACUGCAAGACCCAUCAAUUACCCACACUAGGGUUGAACCACAAUCCUAGCUAAUGGGUCUAGCUACUCAUGAUUAUAGAAGAAAACAAAGAAAUAGAUGAAAAAACCCCAUAAUAUUAAAUUACUAGAUAAAACUUGAAGAUUCAGUGAUGAAACUAGCUGAUCAUUAAAAUACAACUGAUGACCUAAAAAUGGGAAAAGAAACAAUUUAUACUAGACUAAAAAUUCUGGACAAAAAUACCCAUGUGGGGCUAGUGCAGAAUGCACAAAAUCGAGUGCGGCCGCACUAAGGCUCUUGGCUGAAACAAUUUUCUCUCUGAAGUUGUCCACCGCGGGCCGCACAAAAUGCACCGCGGCCAUGGUGGCUUCUAUUAAGAUCCACACAAAAUGGACCGCGGAUCAUAGUGUCAAUGUUCCUCCAACUUGGCACCUCUCUGAACUUGGGCUUUGUGGAUCACGCAAAAUUGAGUGCGGCCACAAUAAAGUCAAAGCAGUCCGCAUGAAAUGUUUUAUGGCAGCAUUGCUUGGUUGCCUAAAAUGAGCACUCUCUAUACCUCAUCUUUGCGGACCACAAAAAAUGGUCCGCGGCCACACUGAUCCUGUUAUACUGAGCUUGGCCUUGUUCUUGGUACUUGUGCAUGUUUCACUCCCUUUUGAGAUGGUUUGAUGAAUUUUCACCUUGUUGCCCAAACCCUACAAUCAAGUAUAAUAUAUGAGCCUUUUGACUAUUUUGUACACAUAGAAGGAGUGUAAAAUGUAUCAUAAUCCCUAGUUAUUAGUUCAUUGAGGGACUCGUUCAGCCUAUUCGAUUGUAGAUGGCUAAGGAGGCGGGCAUCGAGAUUUCUUUUCAGGAUGCGGCAAAAGUGGACAGAAGUGUUGAGUGGUAUUAUCAUAGGGAAAUGGUUAGGGUUCUGACAAGAGGCCCGUCAUUCUGGCAGGUUUAGUGGUGCCUCGUCUAGAGACAGAGGUUCUUUUGGUAUGGGCCAUCCUUCCAGGCCGUUUCAUUCAGCACUACAGGAAUCUAAUGGAGCUUUAGGGGGAAUGGUUCCUAUGUGCCUCCUUCAGGAUAGCCAGCUCCUAUCAGAGCACAUCCCCUUCAGAGUUAUUCUCAUGGUCAGCCGGACCCGUCAGGGUCAGUCUUAGUUUUCUUAGCAGCAGCACUUAGGUGGAUGCUUUAAGUGCAGUAAGUAUAGUCAUAUCCGGAUGGCUUGUCUGAGAUUAAUGGGUAUUCAGUCGCAACAUCAGGGUUCCCAUGCCAUGUUUAAGGCACCGAGUGUUCCACCGCCCACCCAACCAUCUAGAGGUGGAGGUAGAGGUGCUAGAGGUAGAGGUAUAGGUAUUAGAGGUGGAGGUCAGACCGCUAGAGAUGGAGGCCAGCCAAUAGAACGCCGUCCAGAGAUGUAGUUUAGAGUGGUGGGGCCCAACACCAAUGUUAUGCUCUUCCCGCCAGGAAAGAGGAUGAGGCCUCCGAUGCAGUUAUCACAUGUACUGUUCUGGUUUAUAGUAGAGAUGCUUCAGUUCUAUUUAAUACAGGGUCUACAUACUCUUAUGUUUCAUCUUAUUUUGCCUCGUAUUUGAUCAUGCCUAGUUAUUCUUUGAGUGCCCCUGUAUAUGUGUUUACACUGGUGGGUAAUUCUAUUAUGGUGGAUCAUGUCCGUCAUUCAUGUAUAGUUGAGAUUGGGGGUCUUGAGACCCGAGUAGAUCUGUUACUUUUAGAUAUGAUUGAUUUUGAUGUCAUAUUGGGGAUAGACUGGUUAUCAACUUACCAUGCUAUAUUGGACUGUCAUGCCAAGACUGUGACCUUAGCCUUGCCGGGUUUACCUUGUUUAGAGUGGAGAGGGACUCCUAGUCAUUCCACCCAUAGGGUUAUCUCAUAUAUGAGGGCUCAACAUAUGGUUGAGAAGGGAUGUUUGGCCUAUUUGGUGUAUGUUCAUGAUUUUAGUGUCGAGGUUCCUUCUAUGGAAUAUGUGCAUGUUGUUCGUGAGUUUCCUGAGGUAUUUCUUCCGGGUAUGCCGCCCAACAGGGAUAUUGAAUUUUGCUUUGAUAUGGCUCUGGCCACUCAUCCCAUUUCUAUCAUGCCAUAUCGUAUGGCCCCGCUAGAGUUGAAAGAAUUGAAAGAACAGUUAUAGGACCUGCUGGAUAAAGGCUUUAUUAGACCUAAUGUCUCGCCUUGGAGUGCAUCGAUGUUGUUUGUUAAGAAGAAGGACGGAUCGAUGAGGAUAUGUAUAGAUUAUCGAAAGUUGAACAAGGUCACAAUCUAGAAUAAGUUUCCGUUAUCGAGGAUUGACGAUUUCUUUGAUCAACUUCAGGAUGCUAAGGUAUUAUCAAAGAUCGAUUUGAGAUCUGGCUACCAUCAGUUGAGGGUUAGGGAAUUCGAUGUCCCUAACAGAACUUUCUGCACUCGGUACGGGCAUUAUGAGUUCUUAGUGAUGUUAUUCGGGUUGACAAAUUCCCCAACAGCUUUCAUGGAUUUAAUGAACCGAGUGUUCAAGACUUACUUGGAUUCCUUUGUGAUAGUCUUUAUUGAUGAUAUUUUGAUCUAUUCCAGCAGCCGAGAGGAGCAUGAGCAGCAUUUCCGCGCCGUUCUCCAAACUUUGAGGGACAAUCAUUUAUAUGCUAAGUUUUCGAAAUGUAAGUUGUGGUUGAGUUCAGUAAUAAUUCGUGGGUACGGGACAUUAUCAGGGAGGCUACGACCUAUCUAUCAUCGCACGAGGCAUACACCGGCGUGGUCACGACUUGUAAUUUAUACUUUAGCUUUUGAAAUAAUUAAUAUCGUUAAUUAUAGGGGGAGGGGGGUCAGAUUUUGACCUAUAUAGUUAGUCCCUCCGCUUAUUGAGGUCAUGCCCUGGCUGAACUUGAUGAGGGACACUGUCGCAUGCUACCUUUGUCGGGACCGAAGGUGACCAUGGCCGUUUAUACAUUGAAAGUUGUACCAUUAAAAUCGAUAGCCUUAGACAUUUUGUGUUGACAUCCUUAGCCGCAAUGGAGUCAAGUUGGUGACCUUAGAUGUAUUUUGUUGAGGGUCUUAACCGGUCAUUCAUGGGAGAGGGCUGUAGCUGUUCGUACAUCGAAGAUGGCCGUAGCCGUUUAGGAAUGGCUAUAGCCAUUUAUAUAUGGGGAAUGGCCGUAGCCGUCUGUAUAUGGGGAAUGGUCGUAGCCGUUUUCAACCGAGGCUAUACCUUCAUACCGAUAGCCUUUGGCCUUGUAAGGUGUUAACCUUAUUUUUGGUAGUUGAGUUGUAUGUCGUGCGGCCGAAAAGAGUAUGGGUGUGCCUGGCGUGCAACUUGGCGAUGUUCGAAGUUUGAAGGCAUAUGGAACGUCUAUUCAAUAAUCGUUCAUUAUAACCGUUUCGAAGGCAAAGAGUCAGUUGACGAUUGAAAAGUCGUUUCGUGGUGCCUGUCAUAAUGACGCAUGUUUCUGUAGAACUGAACCGCUUUGCGGUUGGUCAAUUAGUUAAUGAUGGCUAUUGUAAUUCGUGAAAGCCACUUGUGUUACCUAUAAAUAAGGGGUUGUGUCAUUUAUUUCUUACAUUUCCAUCUUUUGUCUAAGUGAAAUUUCUGAAGAAGCUUCCUUCAUUAUCAGUUUAUCUUCUUUCUUGUUCUUCGUUGUUCUUCAUUCGACACCAUCUUUGCUUUCCUUUAUGUGAAUCUUAUUCUUUUCCCGUUUAUCAAUCAAUAAUGGCAAGCAGUUCUCGUACCAAUCUUGCUCCGGCAACUCUUCUGGUGGCUGAAGGGUCAUCUACAACAGUGAGAGCCACUGAAUCGGCGGAAAUCGAUUCCGAGGCCCAGCUUGAUGUAUACAAGAGAUUGUAGGAGGCCGGCAUUGUGCCUGAAGCCGCUUUUGAAGAAGCCCGUCAAAAGGCUCGUGAGGCCCGUGUCGACUGCGGCUUUGACCCAGCUACGCCAAGGGUUGAUGAUGGCGCUAAAGGCGUUGGUGAUGCUGAUGGUGGCGCGGGCGGCGCCGAGUGAAAAGGAUUUGUUAUGUUUUUUCUUGUUAUCGUUGCCGUUUGGCUAACUUCUUUUUUGGUUGUUCUUUCUUUCUCAUUUACCGGCCUUGGCCGGAUGUAAGCGGGGAUGACCCAUUGUAACUAAAGAUGUAAAUAUAUGCAACUUUAUUUUCCUUUGUUCUGCGUGGUCUUUAUUUUGUAUCUUUCUUGUUCUCAAGUUUUUCUUUUGUGUGCGCUNNNNNNNNNNNNNNNNNNNNNNNNNNNNNNNNNNNNNNNNNNNNNNNNNNNNNNNNNNNNNNNNNNNNNNNNNNNNNNNNNNNNNNNNNNNNNNNNNNNNNNNNNNNNNNNNNNNNNNGGGGGGGGGGGGGGCGCUUUGCCUCAGAGUGUUUCUUUCCUUUUGGUCCUAGGAAGAACUACGCGAUUCUGCUAUGAAAUUCCCAUAAACGGCGUCAAAUUAUUUAGCUCAAAAUUCUCACACACUUAUAAGCAUAAAACAAUCAAAUAAAUUGAUGGCCAAUCAUAACAGAUCGUAAUAAAUUAAGAGACCAAACGAAAGAAAAGAAAGGCAAGCUUUUAAAAUUAAGGAGAAACAUAUAAAGAGCUUUUUAUUGAUGAUAUUAGUUUGAUCUGCCACUCCAUAGAGAGGUUCACAGCCUUACAAUGUUAUUCUUUAUGCAAAUCCUAGGGGUACUAUUGUGUUUUCCCCUUUUCUUGGGAGUAAUGGCGAAGAAGAAGAAGCCCCUCUGGGGUUCUUUCUCUUAAUAUUUAUAUCUGUAAAUCGAAUGAGCUGGCGAUAAGUGACCGUGACCAUGCCGGUGUAUGGCUCGUGCGAUGAUAAAUAUGUCGUAACCUCCAUGAUGACAUUCUGCACUCACGAAUUAUUAAUAAUAAUUUAUACUUUAACUUUUGAAAUAAUUAAUAUCAUUAAUUAUUGGGGAUCGGAUUUUGACCUAUAUAUUUAUAUUAACUACUAUAUAAUAAUCAUCGUUAUCAUUAGUAGUGCUCCCACAGAUUAUCUAAUCCGAAACGCUGAGCGACGGAGUCCGAAACGGCGUUUUCACGUUUGGUGCUUCUGGAUAUAUCUUCCGUUUCCGUUUAUAUUUGUGAUCGUCACACACCGGCGUCAAUAGCACUGUGCCUCCGAUUUUUAGGACUAAAUUAAAAAUGAAUUCUCCGGCAACUCUCCGAUGUCACAGCCCUAUUUCAACCUUCAGGAAGCCUAAUUACUCAGGCAGACGAUUAGUAUGCAACGUGAAGUUGCCUUCAAACUGCAAAUUCUCGUCGAACCACAACUGUUUCAAAUCGUUUACUGCUAACAGAAGCGAGUUUGCAGCUCAUCAGAGUAUUGGGUAUUGGCGAAUAGGAGGAGCGCCUUCAAGUGAUGUUCAACCAGUCGAUGAGAGCUUUGGGGAGUUCAUCACAUCGGAGAGAGUGAAAGUAGUGGCGAUGUUAGGCUUGUCUUUGGCUUUAUGUAACGCCGAUCGAGUUGUUAUGUCUGUCGCUAUUGUUCCCCUAUCCCUUUCUCAUGGUUGGCGUCAAUCUUUUGCUGGCGUGGUUCAGGUAAACUGAAUUGAUUUUGUUGUGACUUCUCUCAUGAAACAUAAGCAUCCAAUAAAUGUUAUUUCUUGGAUAGAUAACUAAUACAAACCACCGACUGCAGUUAAUUGGCUUCAGAAUAUGGAAUAUAAAUUGAAUUACUUAUUCUCUGGAAUGUCUAGUGUACAAACUAGCAAGUUCAAAAUAUUGGCUUUAGAAAAUUGAGUCCGCAAGUCUAUUGGCAUAAGAUGUUAGCUGCAGCAUUCUCUUGACUGAAAGAAAGAAAAAAGUCAGCUAGGAUAUUCUGCAUUGACAUAGUGUCAGUCCUGACUUUCAUAUUCAUCUGUCAACAAUGCAAGUCAAAACCCAAGAGUAAGGUGAGAAGUUCUUGGAGGGGAAGAUGCCGGGGGUCUAUUUGGAGACAGCCUCUCUACCGAAGGGUAGGGGUAAGGUCUGCCUACAAACUAUCCUCCCCAGACCCCACUAAGCGGGAUUAUAAUGAGUUGUUGUUGUUGUUGCAAGUCAAAACCCAAGCUUAACAAAUCUGCUACGUUUUUAAAGUCAUGAUAUUGAGUCAUUCAUCUUUUACAUUAAUAACUGUUUCUUUGAAAUAUUAGAUGGUGGAUAUGGUGUAAGAAAAGUUGGUUUGAUUCAUAAAGUCAACUUUUUCUUAGAUCCUAGGUGACUACCUACUUGGAAUGCAAGUCAGAACUGGUAUUAAAGUAAUGUCAAGGUGUAAUGUGUCGUAUAAAAUAAUCUGAUUUCAUUAAUUUUUAGAUCCAAAUUUAAUGUUCUAAAAGAAACAAAAAUUAAUUUCUUUUGUUGUGGUCUGGCUUUUUCAUGAUCAUCGUAUUAGAUUUGAUCUAACAUUUUAUAUAUUCUCUCUGCUUUCUUUUCUUCUGGGGGAGGAGGGGGGUGAGCGGGAGGAGGGAUUAAAUGUGACCAAAUCUAAGGAUACAAAUUAGAUAUUCUAGCACAUAUCUGUUUGAACAAUCUACGAAUUGCUAAUACAACAUAAAUCAAAUCCAAACAAUUACUUCCCCACGGCCCACCUCACCGUAUAAAGUCCGUGUGUUUUUUAUAUCUGUUUGAACAAUCUAUGAAUUGCUAAUAGCCUAAUACAACAUAAAUCAAAUCCAAACAAUUACCUUCCUCACGGCUCACCUCACUGUUUAAAGUCCGUGUUGGGGGUGGGGGUGGGGGGAGGAUAUUCUUAAUUCCGUUUACAAGAUCCAAUGGCUUCCAUGGACUGACGCUCACAUUAGGCAACCUGCAUGUUAUAAAUGCCAAAAGCUUUUCCUAGGCUUUUAGGUAGAGAAGUGGGAAGACGUCCCAACCAAUUGAAUUCACUUAUAUUGAACAACUUCAACCUACAUGUUAUAAAUGCGAAAAGAAUUUGAUAGACUUUUUGGUAGGAAAGUGGGAAUACAUCCCAACCAAUUGAAUUUGCCUGUAUUGAAAAUUGCUCAAAAUUGUAUUGGUUUCAAUGCUCGUAUUUUCUGGUGUGAAAAUUUCAAAGCUAAACCUUUUGUUCCAAUUACCUCUUAUGUUGGACACCUACUAAAGUUGGGUUGAAUUUGGUUGUUGGAGUCUUCUUAUUGUAAAAUAUUUUCCUGAUAAAUAUGCAUUUCUACCUUAUAAAAAAAAAUAAAAAAUAAAUAUGCAUUUCUAGAAUUCAGCCAAAGAACUAGUUCAGAGGUAAUGACCUAUUUCUGAAUUCAUGUGUUACUACAGAAUCUAUAAUAAUACACCUAGAUGAUCUGUACUUAUAACAAAAGAAAUAGUAUGAAUGAUGUUACGAUUUCUGUUAUGACCUUGCAUUUGAUAAUCAAUGGUUUGAUUGAUAAAUAGCUACUAAUGGCAGUCAUCAUUUCUCUGGGGAUACUUGAUCUCGCCAAUAGCUGGGGGAACUCUGGUGGAUUACUAUGGAGGUAAGUUAGUCAUGGCAUGGGGUGUGGCUUUGUGGUCCAUGGCCACGCUUCUAACUCCUUGGGCAGCGGAAGCAUCGUUAUGGGCAUUGCUUGCCAUGCGGAUGCUGCUGGGUGUUGCAGAAGGGGUAGCUCUUCCUUGCAUGAACAAUAUGAUUGCAAGGUAUUGAAGUCAAGAACCUGUUGAAUUUAUAAUAUGAUCUCUAUGAUAUACUAUUCAGUAGUAGUCUGUACAACUGAAUGAUCUGGUUUAACUUAUUAAUUAUUAUUGCUUUAAGAUCUGUUGGUGCUUUUCCUUGUAGAUGGUUUCCUCCUACUGAGCGCUCGAGGGCUGUCGGACUUGCCAUGGCUGGUUUUCAGCUUGGAAGUGCUAUUGGGCUUACCCUUUCCCCUAUUCUUAUGUCACAAGGUGGUCUAUUUGGACCAUUUGUGAUAUUUGGCUUGUCCGGAUUCCUAUGGGUUUUGGUUUGGGUUUCUGCUACUUCUAGUACUCCCGAACAAAGUCGGCAGAUAUCCAUUCAUGAGUUGAGGUAUAUACAGAACAAGGGGCAGAUCCACACUGUAGUUGAGGGUAGAUCAAAGAUAAGCAAAGGGAUCCCUCCUUUCAGGCGUUUACUCUCCAAACUACCGACAUGGUCUAUAAUUGUUGCAAAUGCCAUGCAUAGCUGGGUACAUAUAUCUAUUUCUAAUAGUACAAUUAGCAUUUUAACAAUGCACCAUUUUCUACUUUUAUGUUAGCUUGUUUAACUUUAUAGAGGUGCAAAUCUGCAGUGCCUUAUCCAGAAGUCCAUAUCUUAGUGGAUCAACAAUCUAUAAAGCACCAUGGCAAUAGUUGAAAAAAUUGAGAACUAAUUUUAUCCUGAAGGAAGUUCUCUUUGUUUCAAAUUAUCUAGUUUCAUAACUUGCUGUAAGGCACUUCCUGUAUGUCUCCUCUUAGUGCAAUAUGUAUCUAUUGCACAUCUGUUUCUAAAUAUCUGUCGAAGUCUUCUGAUUUGCCAAACUUUAAAACUUUGCAGCAAGUGGCUCUUGCUUGUGCAUGUUUCUAUUGUCCCUCAACCAUAUCUGAGUUGAAAUAUAUGUACUUUUUAUAUCUUUUUACUUCAUUUCUUGAUUAAUCAGUCUUGGUAAAUUUUUUUGCUCGAUGCAGGGAUUCUUUGUUAUACUAUCAUGGAUGCCCAUUUACUUUAAAACUGUGAGUACAUCCUCUGAUAGUCUUCAAUAUGUUUUUUGUGAUGAUUGUAGUGAUAUAGCUGCUUCUGUCCUUAUAGAUAUAUCAUGUUGAUCUUAGACAAGCAGCAUGGUUUAGUGCUGUUCCGUGGAGUAUGAUGGCAUUGACUGGCUAUUUUGCUGGUGUUCUGUCAGACAUGAUGAUCCAACGAGGCAUAAGUGUGACCCUAACCCGUAAAGUUAUGCAGGUAUGUUUUCUCUCUAUCCCUUGUUAUUUUUUCCCUUUGGAUCACCAUUUUUGAUAACAACGCAUUAUUUGUGCUUUUCGCACCACAUUGAGCUAGUCUCCCCAGUGUCCCCACUGCUUCGAAUAUUUUCUCCAUAUAGUAGAAUAGGUGUUAACAUCUGUGUCCCCCAACACAAUUAAAAGAGAUAAAAGUAAGCAACAAGAAUCACAACAUCUUGCACGUUCGUCACAAUUGUCUGUCACAUUAUCUUGAACUUGGCAGGUGCUUAAUUGUGGAAGCAAGGACAUGUGAAAUUAUUUUAUGUAUAUAGUACCUCAAAAAGGAUAAAUGGAAAUUCUCUCUUGUCUCUUCAUUUGGUAGUUAACAGGAAUGCAGAGUUGGAAUUAGCAGAUUAUAUGUCUAAAUUGAAAGCAAUUUUAAUCCUGAGUGCAGUCUCAUGUACAUUUGGAAAAACCACCUAGGUUGGUGGGGAUCAAGUAUUUAACUGACAAUGGAGAUCUUAUCACUUCAUCACUACAAAUUAUAUGGUUUGAAGGAGUAACGGGGAUGGAAGAGAGGUUUGAAGGAGAAGAAAAACCAUAUAUCUGGGAGAACCUGCUGAAAUAGCUAACUAUUGCCUAUUACCCAUGCUGAUAAUUCUUUGGUUGUGAGUCAAAUGUUAAGAGGAAGGAGCCAUAUAGAAUACUAGUUGCGGCUUUGAAGUCAUGAGGCUUGCUGGCUCCAAAGAAUAUGCACUUUGUUGCUCUGAGCCAGAAAUAAUGGCGAUGCUUCUAAUCAGUGCAGGCCUCUUUUCGAAUGACCCAAUCACAUUGCAACAAAUGAAAAAAAUUUAGAAUGGACUAAAAUAUUUUCAGACUUGCAAGUGACUCAACAGAUAAAGAAAGGAAGUAAAUCUAGAGCAUGUAAGAAACGUGGAAUUUGGUUUACCAGUCAAACAAAAAGAGACAUGGAAAUUGGUGAAAAUGACAAAGUCGAGCAUAAAAGUGGUCCAUAUGCUGCUCCCGAUGGUUGGAACUUUGUUUUAUAUGAUAGUAGAUGAGUUGUGAAUCUUUGAGAAUCUAUAUGUUGUACAUUUUUGAAGUUGCGAAGAUGGAAUAACAUAUCCAAAAUAAAAUAAAAUAGAGUUGCAAACAUGGAAUAUGUUGACCCUUAAGAAUACCAUAAAAUCAUCUUGAUAAAAAAGAAUACCAAAGGAGCUUGUGGAAGCAACCUCGAAGUAUGCCUGUUGGCAGUGUAAAACAUUUCUUUGAAAUGGUGAAGGAAGAUCGUUUGAUGAAAAGUAAAUGCACAUCUAACUACUAAGAAACAAUUCGAGUCAAAUACCAAAGUAGGAGUUUGGUUUGCGUUUCUGGCUUCUAAUGGUUUGGUCCAAAUAGUUUCAAUUUGAAUCCAGCAUGAUAAGUACAUUGAAUGUGCCACUUAAAGAAUGAAAAUUAGAUUCGAAAGCUUAACUACUACUCCCGUCGUUCCAGUUUAUGUGAACCUAUUUCUUUUUUGGUUCAUUUAAAAAGAAUGACCCCUUUCUAAAUUUGGAAACAAUUUAGCUUAAACUUACAAUUCUACCCUUAAUGAUAAGCUUUUAUAACCAUACAAAUAUUCUGGGCUCCUUUUUGACUUGUUUAGGAUCACAAAUUUUUCUUAAAUUCCGUGCUUAGUCAAAUAGGUUCAGAUAAAUUGGAAUGGAGGGGGUACAAAUUAGAGCCUCUUUGACCGAGCUUCUAGGAGAGCAAAAGCACUAUUUUUUGGUCAAAAAAUAACUUUUUUGGAAAUUUGAGAUGUUUGGCCGAUGAAGAAGUACUUUUGAGCAGCAGUGGAAGUAGAUUUUUUCGCUUUUGCGAAGAAGCUACGAAUUCUAGCUUAUUUCAACAAGCAGAAGCUGAAAAUUAAAUUUUUCAAGACAAAAAUAUCUUUUCAACAACAACAUACCAGUAUUAUUCCACACUGUGGGGUCUGGGGAGGGUAGUAUGUACGCAGACCUUACCACUACCUUGUGAGGAAAGAGAGACUGUUUCCAAUAGACCCUCGACUCAAGAAAGUAUAAGUACUACAUUAAUAAAAAUAUAGCCUCGCUCAAGAAAGCAUAAGCACUACAUUAAUAAAAAUAUAGCCAAGAAGGGACAGUACCAAAAAGCUAAAUAAAAGCAGAAUAAAACAAGAAGAUAGUAAGAUGAUCAACAAUGAAAGAAAAUAACGGUUAUUCGCUAAAACCUACUACCAACAGAAAGCGAGACUGUGUUCGAAUACUACUGUCAUGAACACUCUAGACUACCUACUCUACUACCCUAAUCCUCAACCCUAUCAAGGGUCAUGUCCUCGGUCAGAUGAAGCUGCGCCAUGUCUUGCUUAAUUACUUCUCCCCAUAUCUUCUUUGGCUUACUCUACCUCUCCGUAGGCCUUCCAAUGUCAAUCUCUCACCCCUCCUCACCGGGGCGUCAGUGCUCCUGCUCCUCAAAUGACCAAACCACCUAAGCCGCGUUUCCCGCAUCUUGUUCAAUAAGGGCCACACCCACCUUGUCGUGAAUAACCUUAUUUCUGAUCUUAUCUAACCAGGUGUGCCCGCACAUCCAUCUCAAUAUCUGUCUGCUACAUCCAUUUGCGGACUUGACUGAUCUUGACUAGCCAACACUCACCCUCAUACAAUAUUUUUGGUCUGACCACCACUCUGUAAAAUUUACGCUUAAGUUUCGGUGGCACCUUGUUAUCACAUAAAACACCGGAAGCGAGUCUCCAUUUCAUCCAUCCCGCCCCAAUACGAUGUGUGACAUCUUCAUCAAUCUCCCCAUUCCCCUGAAUAAUAGACCCUAGGUACAUAAAAUGUCCUUUCCUAGGGUUGACCUGCGAGUCAAGCCUCUCCUCCCCUUCCCCUCCCUAAGCCUCACCAUUGAACUUAGACUCCAAGUAUUCUGUCUUGGUCCUGCUCAGCUUGACCAAAUUCUCCUUAAAUCAAAUUAUCCCUCGUUAAUUUAAGCUUUUCCUUUUUCUUUUUUGUUUCUACCAUCCUUUUCUUCUCUUUUUAUUUCUACUAUAUUGCUUGAAACAAUUUGCUCGUAAUUCUUAAAUUUUAUUUUAUAAAUUAAACUACAUCAACAACAAUAUACCCCAUGUCUUCCCACAAUAUGGGGUACGGGGAAUGUAGUGUAUACACAGACCUUACCCCUGCCUUUUGGAUGUAGAGAGACUAUUUCCGAUCGACCCUCGGCUUAAGAUAACUGUUGAUUAGCAUGAUUUUAGGAGAAAAUUGUUGAUUAGCAUGAUUUCAGGAGAUUUGCUUAUAUUUAGGAGAUCUGAUUUUAUUUGAUAGCUAGACAGAUUGUAAAGAUUUAUUCUAUUUCCUUAAUUAGCAUUAGGAGCUUUUUAUAUAGAUUCCCUUACUCAUAGGAUGUAGAUGCACAGAAAUACAAGAAGUAUUAAUUGAGGAAUAAAAACUAUCAAGUAUUCACAUGACAUUCAAUUAUUCUAAAAAAAUAGACUCAGAAAUCAGAAUAAGUAACUGAACUGUAAUUAAGUUUGGGAAAAUCAUAUAAGUAAAAAAACAAUUAUUGUUUGACAGAUAAUCAUGAAUUUCACUAAUUCUUAAAAGAUAGUCCUAUCAGUUUAUAAAUAGACUUUAAAGAAGAGAAGGAACCAAAAGUUAAUUUUGUGUAAUUCCUACUUGCAAAUAGACAAUGGACUACGUAGAAGACAUUUAUGACCUUGCAAGUUCAACUAUGCUGAACCUCCAACACUUUCCAUCUCAAGGGUAAGCACGAUGCUUGCUCGCUCAUUGCCAAGCUUACCUACUUCUUAUGUGUAAAGGAUAUCAGCUUCUAUCUUCUUUCCUAAAUGAAUAGAUGAGUACUGUCAUUUCUUUCGGUAAUUAGUAAACUGAAUUCCGCCAAAAAUGUCAUUGUUGAAAGAUUUUGGUAGAUCAUAAACACAAGUUAUUAGACUAUGAUAUGCCUCAAUGAAUAAGCGUAACAGGCAGAAAACUAAUCAUAAAAUUUUGUGAAAUGUGCUAGAAGUGGAGUAAAGCGGUGCCCUUGUACAAGAACAAAGAGGACAUCCAGUGUUGCAAAAAACUAUAGGGGUAUCAAAUUAAUAAGUCACACCAUGAAGGUCUGGGAGCGGGUGAUCGAGNNNNNNNNNNNNNNNNNNNNNNNNNNNNNNNNNNNNNNNNNNNNNNNNNNNNNNNNNNNNNNNNNNNNNNNNNNNNNNNNNNNNNNNNNNNNNNNNNNNNNNNNNNNNNNNNNNNNNNNNNNNNNNNNNNNNNNNNNNNNNNNNNNNNNNNNNNNNNNNNNNNNNNNNNNNNNNNNNNNNNNNNNNNNNNNNNNNNNNNNNNNNNNNNNNNNNNNNNNNNNNNNNNNNNNNNNNNNNNNNNNNNNNNNNNNNNNNNNNNNNNNNNNNNNNNNNNNNNNNNNNNNNNNNNNNNNNNNNNNNNNNNNNNNNNNNNNNNNNNNNNNNNNNNNNNNNNNNNNNNNNNNNNNNNNNNNNNNNNNNNNNNNNNNNNNNNNNNNNNNNNNNNNNNNNNNNNNNNNNNNNNNNNNNNNNNNNNNNNNNNNNNNNNNNNNNNNNNNNNNNNNNNNNNNNNNNNNNNNNNNNNNNNNNNNNNNNNNNNNNNNNNNNNNNNNNNNNNNNNNNNNNNNNNNNNNNNNNNNNNNNNNNNNNNNNNNNNNNNNNNNNNNNNNNNNNNNNNNNNNNNNNNNNNNNNNNNNNNNNNNNNNNNNNNNNNNNNNNNNNNNNNNNNNNNNNNNNNNNNNNNNNNNNNNNNNNNNNNNNNNNNNNNNNNNNNNNNNNNNNNNNNNNNNNNNNNNNNNNNNNNNNNNNNNNNNNNNNNNNNNNNNNNNNNNNNNNNNNNNNNNNNNNNNNNNUCAACACUCACCCCCAUACAACAGUGUUGGUCUGACCACCACUCUGUAGAACGUGCGCUUAAGUUUCUGUGGCAACUUCUUGUCACACAAAACACCGAAAGCAAGUCUCCAUUUCAUCCAUCCCGCCCCAAUAUGAUGUGUGACAUCUUCAUCAAUCUCCCCAACCCCCAGAAUAAUUGACCCAAGGUACAUAAAAUUUCCUCUCCUAGGGAUGACUUGCGAGUCCAGCCUCACCUCCCCUUGCCCUCCAAACUUAUACUCCAAGUAUUCUGUCUUGGUCUUGCUCAACUUGACAAAAUUAUUCUUAAAUCAUAUUAUCCCUCAUUAAUUUAAGCUUUUCCUUUUUCUUUUUUGUUUCUACUAUCCUUUUCUUCUCUUUUUAUUUCUACUGUAUUGCUUGAAACAAUUUGUGCAUAAUUCUUAAAUUUUAUUUUACAAAUUGAACUACAACAACAACAUACCUAGUGUAUUCCCACAAUGUGGGGUCUUGGGAAGGUAAUGUAUACACAGACCUUACCCCUACCUUUUGUAUAUAGAGAGGCUGUUUCUGAUAGACCCUCGGCUUAAGAAAACGGUUGAUUAGCAUGAUUUCAGGAGAUUUUCUUAUAUUUAGGAGAUUUGAUUUUAUUUGAUAGCUAGACCGAUUGUAAAGAUUUAUUCUAUUUCCUUAAUUAGCAUUAGGAGCUUUUAAUAAAUUCCCUUAUUAGAUGCAUAGAAAUACAAGAAGUCUCAAUUGAGGAAUAAACACUAUCAAGCGUUCACAUGACAUUCAAAAUUUUAAAAAAAAUCAGUAAAAAAUAGACUCAGAAAUCAGAAUUAAGUAAAGGAACUGUAAUUGAAUUUGGAAAAAUCAUAAAAGUAAAAAAACAAUAAUUGUUUGACAUAUAAUCAUGAAUUUCACUAGUUCUUAAAAGAUAGUCCUAUCAGUUUACAAAUAGACUUUAAAGAAGAGAAGGAACAGAAAGUUAAUUUUUCGUAAUUCCUAUUUGCUAAUAUACAAUGGACUAUGUAGAAGACAUUUAUGACCUUGCAAGUUCAAACUAUGCUGAACCUCCAACUCUUUCCAUGUCAAGGUUAAACACGAUGCUUACUCGCUCAUUGCCAAGCUUACGUACUUAUUAUGUGUAAAGGAUAUCAGCUUCUAUCUUCUUUCCAUAAUGAAUAGAUGAGUACUGGCAUUUCUUUCGGUAAUUAUAGUAAACUGAAUUCUGCCAAAAAUGUCAUUGUUGAAGAUUUUGGUAGAUCAUAAACACAAGUUAUUAGACUAUGAUAUACCUCAAUGAAUAAGCGUAGCAGGUAGAAAACUAAUCACAAAAUUUUGUGAAAUGUCCUAGAAGUGGAGUAACAAGAAGGCAAAAUCUUAAAUAUUAAAUUGGGAAUAAAUAAUAAUCAGAGAUACCAUCUCUUCGUCUUGCAUGUAGAAUGCGGAGAAAACAAACUAAACACGAAAGGGAACAACUAUAUUUUAAAGUUAUAAAGAAGGGAUUUCUUUGAGAAUUGAGAGAAACAACUCUUUCUUGGCGAGUGGAAAAAAAAGAAGAGUACUCCAAAACAAAAGAUGAAGAGAAAGACAAGAAUGGUGAUUAAGAGAGCGAGAGUGAGUGACGGCUAAAAAAGGAAUUUAAGAAGAAGCACCUGUUGGCCUGUUGGGGGUUUUUUUCCCUUUGACAGAGGAUUGCAACCAAUGGAAUUUUAAAAGACUGAACUGUUUGUUUAUUUUUUCUACCAGAGGACUAUAUUUUCAUCAUUAAAAAGGCAAAGCUCUAAGAAAAGAGAUAAAUAGAAACCCUGACAUUUGAGAGACGCCACAUCGGAUUUGUAAUUUUGUAUUGCCCUGCUAUAUAUAUUUGAUAUUAUAUGCAUUUUCUGCGCUUGAGUUUUUCCAACCUAUAAUGCAUUUCAUAAUUUUUCACAGUUUAUAUAUUUUUGAACUUUAUUCUUCUAAAAGAACUGAUAUAAAAAUGGUGAAAUGAAUUUCCGGCUACUUAAACUUGUACCAAAUUUUAAAGUCGAUACACAAACUUACAUUGUUCCCAUUUGAACACUCAAACUCGUGUAUCCGGUAAUUAAUAAACUUAUCUGACCGUUGACCAUGCAUAUGUGGUAGUGACAACAAUGAUGUGGACAGAGUGUGUGCAAGUCACGAAAAUUACGUGCGUGACUGCAAUAAUUUUGAUUUAAAAAAAUCUAAAACCAGAAAAAUAAAUUAAAAAGAAAGAAAAUAAAUCAGACCCACUUCCCCCAUCCCCACAAAAUUCCCUUCACCCCUAUGUUCUUUCCAAUCCUAAACCCUUUUCCAAUUCCAAAUAUUAAUUCCCAGAGCUUUAUCCACCUCUUCAACUUCUCCGUAUCCCAUAUUCUCUCCGCCGUCUUAUCAAACGCCGCCGCCACAUUCACCGCCAUUUUAGCAGAAGCUUCAAUAAACAAACAUCUAUUACUCUUCGCGAAUUCCUUGCCUUCCUCUGCACUAACAAUCCUAAUAUUUUCUCCGGCGUCAACACUUAUUCCCCACCAUUAUUACUGUCGUAUCUCGUUGUUGCAGUAUAUCUUCAAGAGAACUCGACAGCCAUUCGAAAGUGUGCCUUUUAGUUACAUCGUAAACAAGCAAAGCUCCUGCGACACCUCUGUAAUAUGCCCUCGUAACCAAAAGGUUUAGAAGGAAAGCAAUUUCAAAUUAGCGAAGCUCCUAGGGCGUCUCUGUAAACAAGCAAAGCUCCUUCUAAAAGGUAAUUGAAAAGAAUGGACAUUGGGCCUAACUCAACCCCAAAAGCUAGCUUAUGAGGUGAGGAUNNNNNNNNNNNNNNNNNNNNNNNNNNNNNNNNNNNNNNNNNNNNNNNNNNNNNNNNNNNNNNNNNNNNNNNAGCUUAUGAGGUGAGGAUUGCCCAAGCCAUAUAAGGAGACCAAGGACCUCAAAUCCCUCCGAUGUGGGACAACUCAACACCCCCUCACGCCCAGAUCUCUUGAGCGUGGACAACAUAAAUGGCGGCCCAACAUCGGUAAUAAUAGUUGAGCCCCCAUUUAUGUUGUCCACGCUCCAGAGAUCUGGGCGUGAGGGGGUGUUGAGUUGUCCCACNNNNNNNNNNNNNNNNNNNNNNNNNNNNNNNNNNNNNNNNNNNNNNNNNNNNNNNNNNNNNNNNNNNNNNNNNNNNNNNNNNNNAUUUGAGGCCCUUGGUCUCCUUAUAUGGCUUGGGCAAUCCUCACCUCAUAAACUAGCUUUUGGGGUUGAGUUAGACCCAAGGUCCAUUCUUAUCAGUAAUGAAAGAAAUAAAAUAAGAAGGAAAUUUUGACAAAUUAAUUAUAAGAAAGGACCCGUGAUGACACAUGUAAAAUAAUAAAUGGCUUUAGCAAUCGACGUGUUCUUUUUGUCAGGCAACUGAGCUACACGCUCUGAGGAAGGGGUUUAUUUAUAAUUAACUGGUUGAGUUGAAGUGCUAAAAUGGGAAAGUCAAAAGUUUAUAUAUCUGCUUUAAAUUCCGGUACAUGUUUAAGUGGCCAGGAGACCAUUUCACCUAUAAAAAUUAAAUGAAACUUACAUCUUGUCUCGCGGGAAUGUCCAGCCCCUUUAUAGGAAAAAUGGUUUCCGCCCUUGUGGCUCCACCUUUUAAACACCGGCUACUAAAAAAUGGGGCUCACAGUUAUUCCGCGACACAUCUCUUUACGUGUCAAAAGUUGAAUAUUUUCAAAUAGCAUGUUGACAGAAAAUGAGUGGUUAACCAAGCCACUGGUUCUACAGGAUUACUCAGGUCAAAGUCUUAGCUGAAAGCAGCCCUACUCAGUAGAUACUGUUGAUCUACCUCUUGAUAAAUGAUUUUUUGUUCAAUAUUCAGUUAAAGCUUGUUGAAUGUUAUUGAUUCAAUGGAAUAUUCAAAUUAACUUGUUUUUUCUUUGUUUGGUUUUUGUGACACACUAAGACAGACUAUCAUCUCACACAACUUUUCUUUUCCAUUUGCAGUCAAUUGGGUUUUUUGGCCCUGGUUUUGCCCUCAUUGGUUUAACUAUGGCACCAAGUCCCUCCAUGGCAUCUGCUUGGCUUACUUUAGCUGUAGGGCUGAAAGCAUUUAGUCAUUGUGGCUUCCUUGUCAACCUUCAGGUUAGAAUGUAAAAAUAUAUACUUUAUGAAUCAGUAAAGCAAAAUUUUUCAUUUGUGGAACUGAUCUUCCAUUUACAUCCAUUAACAGGAGAUUUCACCACAAUAUUCUGGCGUUCUCCACGGUAGUUCUUGUCCAUUUACUCGUGCAAUUUGUGCCAGUUACUCGAAUAAUCUUGCUCUGUCUCCUGAAUUUAGUUACUUGUUCAUAUGCAACUAUUUAUCUGGCACACACGAAACAGCAUAUUGUGGUUAUUGUAUAAUGUGAGCUUAUACUGGUUGAGAAAUUGUUUUCACAUUUGCUGUCUGUCUGCAUCCGCUUCUCAUGUGAUAAAUCAAAUAACUGCAACAACAAAUCUAGUGGAAUUUCACAAAUAGGGUCUGGGCGGGUAGUGUAUAUGCAGACCUUACCCCUACCUUAUAUACGUUAACAACAACAAUCUAGUGGAAUCUCACAAGUGGGGUUUGGGCGGGUAGUGUAUAUGCAGACCUUACCCCUACCUUGUGCAGGUACAGAACUGUUUUCGAUAGACUCUCGGCUCUGGCCAGCAUAGUCACAACAAUAAAGCAAAAGAAAUAUAAUAAUGAAAAAAUUAUGGAAAAAGUGGUAAACAUGUAAUAUCCUAGCUCACUAGUGAUAUUGUCUGCUUUGGACCUCUACCUGUAGGGUUUUAAAACACGUCACUAGGGUCUAAGGCUUGUUUUACUGUAUACUCAACAUCUCUCCCGUGUUUUGUCGAUGUGGGAUUCACCUAGGAUGUCACAUGAUGUGUUUUAAAACGCUACACAUGCCUAGGCUCAAAGCCGACAAUAUCACUGGUGGACUGAGCUGUUAUAUAACAACGAGAUUGUAACAAAGUCGAAGCAGAAGCAACAUCAUAUACUGAUAGAGAUCCAAGAUUAAGACAAAAUAAGAGUAAUAUUAAAACUACCGGUAAGGACAGAAACAAGCUCUACUACUUACUAACUUUCUACCAUAAUUCUCGAUCUCUACAACUUCCUGUCAAGGGUCAUGUCAUCAGUAACUCAAGUCUUGUCUAAUUAUCUCUCCUCAAUACUUUUUCGGUCUCCCUCUACCUUUCCUUAGUCCACCCCAUAUUCAACUGUCACACCUCCUCAUUAGGGUGUCAGUGCACAUCCUCUUCACAUGUCCGAACUAUAUCAACCUCACUUCUCGCAUCUUCUCCUCCAUGGGCCUCCCCACCUUUUUCCCGAAUAUCUUUGUUCCUGAGGAGGUUCUGUGGAGAUGUUUGGAGGCUAGAGAUGUCCUGCGGCUUACAUUAGGGCUAUUAAGGAUAUGUAUGAUGGAGCUAAGACUCAAGUGAGGACCGUGGGCUAUUAAGGACAUGUAUGAUGGAGCUAAGACUCGAGUGAGGAUUGUAGGAGACACUCGGAACACUUCCCAGUUAUGAUGGGGUUGCAUCAGGGGGCCUCCGUCCAUUUCUAUUUGCCUUGCCGAUCGCCACAUACAAGGGAAGGUGUCGUGGUGCAUGCUAUUUGCAGAUGACAUCGUUCUGAUUGACGAGACGCGAGGCGGUGUUAACGAGAGGUUAGAGAUUUGAAGGCAAAUCCUGGAGUUUAAAGGUUUCAAGUUGAGCAUGACCAAGACAGAAUACUUGGAGUGCAAGUUUAAAGGUACAAUUCAAAGCAAAGAAUGUGAUGCUAGAAAUCAAAUCGACCGGUUGGGUCGUUACAGUAUCUGAGAUAGUGUAUUAUUGAAUUAACUAAAACUCUACCUCAUGGUAUACGAGUCAGAGUGCCGGUUUAUUGAGUAAACUGGCCUAGUUUUUUGUUUUGUUGUUUUUGGGUAUUAUGCUGAUUUAGUAUAACAUUGGGUUUUUGGUAUGUUCUAACAUGCAUGCUUGCCCAUGAAAGCAAUUUGUGUUGUAGAAAAUCGCAUGUUGUGUUAGCAGCAGCUCAAUUGCGGACUAGACAACGGUUGUAUGCAUAUAUCUUGUUUAUGAGCUAACCAGAUUAUUUUUUUCCGCUGUAUAGGUCUAUCAAACACUGCUGGUACUUUUGCUGCGAUAAUUGGAACUGUUGGUGCUGGAUUCUUUGUUGAACUGGUGGGAUCAUUCAAGGGAUUUUUGCUGCUUACUGCAUUCUUGUAUUUUUCUGCUGCUGUCUUCUGGAAUAUAUUUUCUACAGGGUUGAGAGUAAACUUUGAUGAUUCCACUUAGAUUGGAUUUUUGUCUUGUAUUUCUCGGUUAGGUUGUUUCUUUUCUUGUUUACUUCGUCAGUGUAAAAGGAUGGAUAGGUCUAUGAUAGGUUAGUGUUUCAUUAUCUAACGAGGGAAUGUAUUUACCAUUAUCCCAGUUUCUUUCUUCACUAUUAAAAGUGCCAACAAUGUAAAUACCAGUCAAGUUGGAGUGAGAGACACUGCGCCACACAGUCUAUGAUAGUGUUUCAUUAUCUAACGUGGGAAUGUAAGUAACCAUUAUCCCAGUUCUUUCUUCACUAUAUGAAGUGCCAAACAAUGUAAAUAGCAGUCAAGUUGGAGUGAGAGGCACUGCGGCACAGUAGCUAAGCAAAAACCUUCAGCGUUUUUUGCUAUUGCUGUUUUUAUUUUUAACAAGUUCCUGUAGCCUUUGUGUAUAAGUCAUACCGGAUAAUAUGUAAUACUAACAAAUUUAGAGUUUCUGAUAUGUUUAACUUCAUUCGUACCUGUCUCUUUGAUUCUUAAAUAGUUGGUUCUAUUGGCACUUCUAAUAUCAAAGUUCCGCUUAUUCUGCCGUUUUAAAUGAAUGCAUUUUACGUUACACGUCAAAAUAACAUGUACUCUGAUCAAGCUUAAAGCUAUAUAAAAAGGAUUAAGUGGUCGCUACAAAUAUAACUUGACUUAUGAGUCCAAGGUCGAAUCCUAUAAGAAAUUAACAUAUCCGUCACAAAUUUUACUAUAGCCAAGAAGUCAAGUAAACAAGUUUUCCGGAUUAUCAAAUGGUGACUUCGAGUUUUUAAACUGAAAUUAUUGCAACUAUGGAAAUUAGCUAAAACUAUCAACUAAUUAACAAAGUUAUAUUCUAGAUUAAGUAGGCCUAAAAUUAUGACUUUCCCAAUUAUUAAAUUCCUUAAUUUACUGCCUUUAUCUCUCGAUCAAUAACAAUAAUUUACUAGAUGUAUUCUCCCGCAAGACUCUAGCUAGUAAUUUCUCGCAGCUCAUUAUGACCAUGUUAAAGCUUCAUUAUUUCUAGGUCCACUUCUAAACCCACAAUAUUGAUCUCCUAUAUACCUAGGAGUUGUGCAACAUCAACCUAAAUAUUCAUUCUUUCUCAAGCUAUACAUAAUAAAUAGGCACCAUUAAUUUAGAGCUCUUCAUGAGGCAAAGAUAAAUACGUAAUUAAACAAGUAGAAAAAUUUGAGGCACAACAGUAUCAAGAAUAUGGGUGUAUAAAGCGACGGGGCGGCCGGACCUGGUCCCGGACCGACAUGGGAAUGUGGGAUGGGUUAUGGGUGNNNNNNNNNNNNNNNNNNNNNNNNNNNNNNNNNNNNNNNNNNNNNNNNNNNNNNNNNNNNNNNNNNNNNNNNNNNNNNNNNNNNNNNNNNNNNNNNNNNNNNNNNNNNNNNNNNNNNNNNNNNNNNNNNNNNNNCAAGGGAUGCGUGAUAGGAUGGGAUGGGAUGGCCAUUUUGUCCUGGCGUCCCGAUGCACUUAUGACCUGACCUCGGCUUGGCAGCUCACAUAAUUUUUUUUUAAAUGAAGUAGUCGUUGGCCAAUGACUUUAUUUUCAAAAAGAGUCGUUUGCAACGGUCAAAAGCAACAAAAAAUAGUCUCUGCCCCCCCUUCCAAAUACCCCUACCAUCCUGAUUUUUAAUUUAAUCCCUAAAUUUAUUAAAUUAUACUUUGGCCUUAAGUUUAUCAAAUACCUAUCAUCCUUCUUGUUUUUUUUUCACACAAAAAUUCUAUCAUUCUCUCUCUAAUCUCUAACUUUCAAUCUAUAUUUUUCUCUCAUUUUUUUCAAAAUUAUCUACGCUUCAAGAAUUUGGGCAAAUUUUCGUAGCAAGUUUCAAGCUUUAUUUUAAUGAAAAAUUUCUCCAGUUUUCAAUAUUGAAUCACGGUUCGCUCGUUCCAUUUUAAAUUUUUAUAUUUAAUUUUUGCGCAUUAUUUUAGUGUUUACUUUUCGUGUUUCACUUUUGCAUUUACUUUGUGUUUGUACAUUUCAUAUUUAAAUUAUGGCCUCUAAAAAGGUAUUUGGCAUAACCAACCUAUUUUAAAAAAUAGUAAAUGUGCUAGUUCUAGUAGUAAUCCUAAUCCUUUUCCUAAAGUUAGAAAACAUAAUAGAGGAUAUGACUUAUGUUGAUGAAACUUUCUUUAGCUGAGCCCAUGAUUUUAUAAUAUUAAUCCGGAAGAACUAGUAGAUCAUGUAACUUUACAAAGGCAAUUUGACAAUGAUAAUAAUUUGUAAUAACGAAGAAGAAAAUGAGGAAGAUGAAUUAGGAGAAACACCCACUAGCCCAACAACAGAAGCUUCAACUCAGAGUCAAUCUCACUCCGGAGCUUUACCUCCCCCUGCACCUCCUAUAAGGGGUUAGGUUAAGGCAGAAUGUACGAGAACAUCACUUGUAUGAUUUUUUUUAAUUUUGAUAAAGAAGAUUUAGUUGAUACUUGUAAAAUAUGUAAUACACAAUUUGCACCUGGUAUGGGUGGAAAAUCAGGGAGGAUGGGGGGUUUAAGCAGACACUUGAAUAAUAAGCACAAACCUUUAUUGAUAAAAGCUCAAAUAGAUGCCGAAAAAUAUUGGAUCCCAGCAGCAUUUUUGGCGCUCCUACUGGAUAUGGCGGAGGUUCUAACUAUGUCCAAUAACAGUUUUACCCUACUACUGGUUCUAUAUUACGUUCUCAUAAAUAAAGAUAGAGAUCGCGAAAAUUUAGCAAAAAUGAUCGUUGUGUGUGGCUGACCUUUUACUUUUCCUUCUCACCCUGACCUUUUGCGUUAUAUACAAAAAAAUAUUAUAAUCCACUUUCCAAGGUUUUCCCAAGACUACAAUUAGAAAUGUUAUAUGUAAAUUUCAAAGUGACUAUUUUUAGUAGAUAUCUAGUGUAUUUUACCACUUAGAUUAUAAAGUGUCUAUCACAUCUAAUACAGGUCGUAGUCCUAAUGACAAUGAUUGUUUAACUAUUACAUAUCAUUAGGUUUAUAAUCACUCGGACAUGCAAAAAUAUAUUAUCAGUUAUAAAUUUUUUAAUUCAAAAUAAAUCGGCGUAUAUAUUGCAACUAUUGUUCUAGAAACACUUCAAUUUUACGAUCUUAUCAAUAAAAUUUUAACUAUCAAAAUUAGAUAAUGAUUUUACUAAUACUAAUGCAACAAAUAGCUUCAAAAACUAGAAGUUGCCCAAUUGAUGACUCAAUUUCUAUGUUAGAUGUGCAUGCUAUAUUUUUAACUUGGUUGUAAAAGAUGAUUGUCACGAUCCAUAUAGCACCACAGGGAUCGUGAUGACACCUAGUUUUUAAAACUAGGUAAGCGAAUCACUUGUACAAGAUUAAAUAAAAAAAAACAUGGUAUAAUAAACUGAAUCUAAUAUGAGCAAUACUCAAACAACCCUUCUCGAGCAUAUGUUGAACCUUCAUGAAAGAGAUAGCUCGGCUAGAUGUACUGAUAUAUGAACCAUUCCACUUCAAUCUAGGCAACUCUGACAUCGCCAAGGUAACAAUCUUGGCAUGACAAUCUAGAAAAGCAUGGUACGGAGACAACUAGUCCAUACCCAGGAUGACCUCAAAGUCGGUCAUAUCAAGCAACAGAAGAUCUGCUUUGGUCUCAUAACUACAGAAAGUCAUAACAUAUGAUCGAUAAAACCGGUUCACAAUAACAGAAUCACCUACUUGCGUGGACACAUAUGCAUGAACACCUAAGGACUCACGGGAUAUAUCCAGAUAAUUAGCAAAUAGAAAAGAUACAUAUGAAAAUGUAGAUCCUGGAUCUAAUAGUGCCAAAGCAUCCUUACCGCAGUCAGAAAUAAUACCUGUGAUCACGACGUCUCAAGCUACUUUAUCUGUGUCACGACCCAAAUUUUUCCACCAUUGGGAGUCGUGAUGGCGCCUACUGUCGAAGCUAGUCAAGCCAACCCUUUUAAAUAUUUUCACAAGAACCUUAAUCUAAAUAAUAUAAAUACUAAAAUAAUUAAUUAAAACCACGCGAAAGACUUUUAGUAACACUAGCAAUGAUAAAGUGCGGAAAUUAGUAACAUGCCUCUACCCAGUAUCUGGUGUCACUACUCACGGACUACUAAAAGAGUACUAAAAACAACAGUAUGAAAGAAAUACAUAACAAGUCUUUUUUGAUACAAUAAAAACAAACUGAAAGAGAUAGAAGAGACUCAGGGCCCGCGAACUUCAGCGAACUACCUCGGAGUCUCUGGACUGAAGGAUCGCUCCCUAACUACUGCUGCGGUCCGUAAGCUGUGUCUGACCUGUGCACAAAAGGGCACAGAAGUGUAGUAUCAGUCAACCGACCCCAUGUGCUGGUAAGUGCCCGGCCUAAACCCGUCGAGGUAGUGACGAGGCUAAACCGGACCUACCACAAUCAACAUGUACAGAUAUAUGUGCAAUAACAGAAAGAUGACAAAAAAAUUUAAUGAGAUAGUGGGAAACGGACAUGCUGGGGGGAUAACAGUUCAAUUAUAAGUCCAAUGAACAAGAAAUGGAACUAAAUAUACAACAUUAAAUAGAGAAAAGCCAAUGAAUCAACAACUGCACGACACCAUCCUUUGUGCUUUUACUCUUAUUUCUCACCAAAACUGUCAAAUAUAAUGCACGGCAUCACCCUUCGUGCUUUUACUCUCAAUAUAUAGUGCACGACAUCACCUUCAUGCUUUUACUCUCAAAUGUAUAGUGCACGGCAUCUCCCUACGUGCUUUCCUCACAUAAUUCUCACAUCAAGGCACAGAAUGACACUUAGUGCUCAAAUAAUCAAGAAACAUGGCACGGAAAGACCCUUCGUGCAUAAUAUCUAUCUUCCUCACCCAAUCAAUGGUCACAAACAAAGGGGAAAGGAAUAUAUAACAAGAUAAAAUAUCCCGGCAAGGGAGAAUAACUCAACAAUAGGUCCCGGCAAGGGAAUACAGCUCAACAAUAGGUCCCGCCAAGGGAAAAAUACCAAAAUUCCUUCUUUAGUUCAUGUUCUUCUCAACUAUCACUUAGUAGUUCAUUUAACAAUUAAUUAUUACAAUUGUCCACUCCUUUCGAAAUUCUAAUAGCAAAUAUGACUCACGGUCAUGCUAGACUCGGGCGCAUAGGUAACCGUGACCAUAACUAUACACCGACUCUACAUAGCACAUAGCAAAUAUUAUCCUAAUCCUAUUCCCUCAAGCCAAANNNNNNNNNNNNNNNNNNNNNNNNNNNNNNNNNNNNNNNNNNNNNNNNNNNNNNNNNNNNNNNNNNAAGUUAGAUCAAACACUUACCUCGAAUCCGAAAAUAGCAACUCAAAGCUCAACAAUCGCCUUUCCUCUAAAAUUCGACCCCGAACCAAUGAUAUCUAACAUAAAUCGAUUCAAUAUUAUCAAUAAUAGCACAAGGAUACAAUUUCCUAGCUUAGAAAUGCAUUUAUAAUUUUUCUUCCAAAAAUACCAAAAUCUGACACCGGGUCCACAUGGUCCAAACUCGAGGCUUGGACAAAAUUCCGAUUACCCAUAACCCCAACAAGUCCAAAUAUAUGAUUUAAUUUAGGAUUCGACCCCAAAUUGAGGUUGAAUCGCCCAAAAUUCUCAAAGACCUAACUCUACCCAAAAGCCCUAGUUUCUACCAUGAUUUCAUGUUUUAGGAUUAGAAAAUUGAUGUUUAGAUGAAGGAAACAAGAAUAAAUAAAGUUAGGAUUACUUACCCAAUGAACUAUGAAGAAAUGAGAGCUUGAAUUUUGUUCAAUGGAGGAUUUUAGGAAGUGCUCGUGUGAGAAUUUGGGAAGAAAUCCCGCCAGUGUUCUGUUUUUAGGCUUUAAAAAUCACUGGGCGAAUUUGGUCUAUGAGAUCACAGGGAAACGGUUGCGAUCACAUAAGGGAGUGGGAAGCUGGCUUAUGCAAUCGCAUACAAGGUCAUGUGAACACAUAGAAGGGAGGGAAGCCAAAGUUCCAGGUGAGGCUUAAUGCUAUGCGAUCGCGUAGAAGGGGAUGCGUUUGCAUUGAAGAGGCUAGCCAAGCUAUGCGAUCGCGUAGAAGCAGAUGCAAUCAUAUUGAAUAAAGUGGGAGGGCUGGCAAGGGACUUUAUGCGAUCACAGAGGAGCCUAUGUGAUCGCAUAGAAGAAAGGAUCCGUGCAAAAAUUGCAGAAAAUCUGCUAAGUUCAAAGAGCCAAAAACACCCCGAACCACCCCCCAAAAUACUCCCGAGCCCUCGGGGCUCCCAACCAACCACACACACUAACUCAAUAUCAUCCUACGAAUUUCAUCGAGCGAUCAAAUUGCCAAAAUAAUAUCAAAAUAAUAGAUUCAACCUCCAAAACUCAUGAUUUUCAUUUCAAAGUUCAAAACUUUCAAAUUUUCCAUUUUUAGUCCGGAACAUGUCAAAUGACAUCCGAUUUCAGCCAAACUUUACAUAUAGAGUUAACACUCAUUUAAGACUUGUACCGGGCGUUGAACCAACAUAAGAGCCCAAUACCAUUACUUUUGAUCAAAUCUCAUUUUUAUUUUUCCUUAAGCAUUUUCAGAAAAUAAUUUCACGAAAAAAUUUCGUACACGAGCCUGGCCUCGGAUUUCGAUUCCGGGAAUUCGCCCGGGUCCCAUAAUUUUCUACGGACAAAAAGUUCCGUACUCGGGCCUGGGACCUUGGAUUUUGAUUCUGGGUAUAUGCCCGGGUCCCAAAUUUCCUUACGGUCCAGGACUGUCACAUCACAGGUCUGGGUCCGUAUACCUAAAAUGUUGACUAAAGUCAACUAUAGAAAUAUUAUUAUUAUUAAAAUUCAUAGUUUUUAACACAGAAUUCAAAUAUUUCCACAUAAAAAUUUUCUGGCUUCGUGCCCGGACUGCACGUGCAAAUCGACGUAUCCAAAUAAGAGGUUUUCAAGGCCUCUGAAGCACAAAGAAAGGGAGAAUUACGGUGAUGACCCUUUGGGUCGUCACAAUCUGGUUUGGCUUAGAAGGCAUAGUACCUUGAUAUAGUGCCACCUAGGCCUCCACCACACCUAGGGUGACCCCUAUCCACCUACCCUCUGCCUUUGGAUGGAUGUACGGGCGGUAAUGGUAGCAUAUACGGUGAUCAUGGGCUAAUUGCCCUACAGUACUGCCUUGUCCCGAAGUCUGGGGAAAAACCUCCUCAUAUGACCCAACUCCCCGCACUCAUAGCAACCUCUUGGUGCUGAAGAUGACUGACCUUGGGUCUGACCCUAGUGACCUUAAUACCUACCGAAAGAACCUUGAAUAGCCGAUAGAGGGUAGGUGCAUGUUGGAAUGGUGCUGAAGUAAGGCUGAGCCAGAGCACCCCGAGAAGAUGGUGAUGCUGAAUACAAUGGCUUGCUAGACCGACCCUUCACAAACUAACCUAUAAAUCUUCCCGAAUAUCAAGGCUGCUUGUCCCUUGGUGCAUGAUCUCGGAUCUGAUGAUGGAUACACUUUAUCCUCUGAGAUAUCUCCAUAACUUGCUCGUAAUAAGUCCCCAUAUCAACCUCUCGGACCAUAGUAAACUGGAUGCCACAAUGCAAUCCCACGAUAAACAUGUGCACUAUCUCUAAAUCUGUGGGGAGUAUCCUAAGUGCGUGGUGAGACAACAUAGAGAACCUUGCCUCAUAAUCGAACACCGAUAUAUGACACUUCUAGAGUAGCUCGAGUUAGCCCCACAGCUCUUCCAUUUGAGAGGGUGGAAUGUAUCACUCCAUAAAAAUAUGUGUGAACUGGUCCCAAGUAAAGGUAGGCGAACAUGCUGGCCUGCUACAGAGACAUGACUGCCACCACCUACGUGCCUUAUCCUCCAAAUGAAAUAUGGUUAAGUCUACCCCGUUGGACUCUAAUAAUCCCAUGUUAUGCAGCCUGCCCGUACAACAUUAAUGAAGUCAUGUGGGGUCCUCAUGUCGCUCACCGCCAAUACUCUUGUCCAACCACUUUUACUGCUCAACGGUCAUGGCUGGUCUGGGCUCUGGUAUAACCGCUGCAACUAGUUGAGCCCCACACACAUGGAGUGCACCUAAGGUCUUAUAUACAACAGUAACGUACCCUAGAGCCUGAGCAUUAGGGCUUUAUGCUCCCCCUCCCGUAUGAGAUGUAGGCGGUCCAAUGGAAAUAAACUAACCUAUCUCAUAGAAUCCAUGAACCGAAUCAUACGUCCCAUGCCCUCCUGAAAUUCCUGUGUGCACAUGAUUUUUGCCCUAUAUAUGAAUUAUUUCUAAAAAUUCAAACAAAAAGAUUUUUUCUUCUUUUUAUAUUUUUUGCGAGUUUUUUGUGUUAUUUUUAGUUAAUUGUUUGCAUUUUAUUUGUGCAUAUUAAUUCAUAUAAAAAUAUAAAAAUAUGCAUUCAAAUUUAGGAUUUAAUUUUAUAUUUUAGUAGUAAUUAGGGGUUAAUUGUUUCAGAACAAAUAUGAAGAAAAUAACAAAAAUAGUUCAUUUUGUGUUUUAAUUGUGAAUUUAUCAUGAAAUAGUUUUAAAUAAUUUUAGGAGUUAAUUAGUUUAGCUUUGAAAAAUAUUAGGACUUUAUUUUAGCUUUAGAAUCAAUUUGGUCUUCGAAUUUUUAUUUGUUAUUUAAACAAAAUCCAAAAAAAUAAAUAAAAGAAAUAAAAAAAGAAGGAAUAUUUGGGAAUAGGAAAUGUUGUCUUUGAUGUUGCCCAGAAUUGGGCCGUUGGUUUCAUUAUUGCCCCAACCUAAAUAACCUUGCCCCAGUCCAGCCCAUACCCAUCCCCGUUACCCGGUCUGUUCCCUCUUUGGAAUGACGCCGUUUGGGGCAUUAAUUAAUCGGGACCGUUGAUAUGCCUUGAUCCAACGGCCAUGUAUUGUUCUUCAAUAUUUAAUAUAAAUGUCUGAAAAAUCAAUUGAACCCUAACGAUAAGAGUCACCCUCCUCGUACCCUUUUCUCCGUCCACUGUUUCUCCGCCGGCGCCGCCUGCCGGAAAUCGCCAACGCCGGAAGCGGAGCUCCAAACGACCCCAAAAUAACACCAAUUAAUCUGCUCAUUCCCCUCUUUUCUAUCAUGUACUUAGUUCCUUUCGAAUCCCGCCAUAGCUUCUCGAAUCUUCAAUCUAAGUUUUUUGGCCAAAGCACGACCUUGUCCAAACCGUCCCAAAUUCAUACCCUACACUCCUCUGACCUCCCUUGUCCCUAAUCCCUAAUCAAAACCCCCCAAAUCCCACUGGUCAAGCUUGAAUUCCAAAUCUAGGGUUAUAGCUUCGGGACUGUUUUGAUGAUCUUUCAAGACGAGUUAACUCAGGUUAAUAUUAUAGGUUUAUUUCCUAUGAGAUGGGCAUAUAAUAUUAACUUGAAGUUAAUUUCGAAGGUAUUUUUUGAAGACUAAAUUUCAAUAAGUUUUUUUUCUCUUUCUGUUCUUUAGUUUUUAGCUUAAUUUGUAGUUCUGUUUCAGUAUCCAGUUUAGGUUAGCAUCAAUCUGUCUUUAUGUUUGUUUUAAAUGUUAGGUUAAUUCUUAGUUUAAUUUCUAUUUUGUUAAGAUUGUUUGAAUUUUGUCCUAUUUAGUUUUAAUUGGUCAAUUAUUUGUCUAAUCUCUAGGGGUUAGUUUAAUUUUAAUUAGCUCGGUUUGAUUCGCUUCAGUCGAUUAGUAUUCUGGUAAACUGUUUCUUCUUGUUGGUUUUUCAGUCCAAUAUUGUUUUUGAUCUUCAUGUUGAUGCAUUCUAAUUCUGUGAUAGUUAGUCGACUCUUACUUGCUUAUGGCAAUUUGUUUUUUUAACAUCCUGAUUAGCUAACUCAAAUGUUAGUAUUGUUCUUUGAUUGAUUAGUGUAAUUAGUUCUUCAGUUCAGUUAGUAUUAGUUGGAUGCAUUAUUAGAGUUUUGGCAUUUAUUUUAGUUAUAGUUGAAUGGUAUUUGGUUGGGUAGUAAUUUCAAAGGAAAAUAAGGGUAGUUUAGGCAUGGGAAAGGGUAGUUUUAUUAAGAAUGGUAAUUUCAAAACAAAGGCAAGGGUAGUAUAGGUAUUGUAUGGGUAGAACAACACCCUAGGGCUUUCUAGAAUAGUACUUUGGUGUAGAUGUCAGCCAAAUUAGUGCAUUUACUUGAGUAGUAAGUUAGAAAUAAGAGGACUAAACUGAAAAUAUUGAAUGACUAAAGAGAAAAUCAAUUUUCUGAUUGUUCACCCUCUUGGUUGCCUAUAAAAGGGCAUCAAAAUGCCUUGAUGAGGGUUUUUUUGGAGCCGUAAGAAAUUCCCAAAAGCUCUAUUUUUUUCAUAUAUAUAUAUAACUAUCCAGAAAAUCGAAAACUACUGUUACAUUGCAACUGAAGGUGAAUUUUGAUCUCCAUCUACUGUUGUUUCUAUUGUUUUGGGUUUAGUUCUAGUAAUUUGGAAAUCCAAAGGACUGUUGGAUGAUCUUCGAGUGGUUAUGGUCUAUUUGAAUUGGAUCUGUAGGAAUUUUUUGGGUUGCUAAAGGUCAAAGUGGUGCUGUUGCCAUUUGUGUUCAUUUUCGUGCUAUUUGGUAGAUCUGUUGUUGGUGUUUGGAUUUUUAAAAUCACUUCUGGGCUACUGAAUUUCCUGGAUUGCACCUAUUUCUACUGAUUACUGCUGCUGAUCUCUUAUUCUCUACUGUUGAUUCGAUUACCAGGUACAUGUUCGAAAUCCUGCUGUACUUUCAAGCUUGAAAGAUGGAAUAUAAAUUCUCAUCUGUUUGAUCCUGAGCUCUGCAUUGAACUGUUGUAUGGUGUUAGUUGAAUUGAUAUCAGAUGAGUAGUUUAGCAUAGUAGAUGUGAAUUUGUUUAUCUAGGCUUUGGACUGUUAAUGAGAUUAUCUCUUGUGGCUGGACUAUAAUUAGGGCUAAAUAAAAGUUAUUUGGACUGUUGGAUUCGAACUGAGACUGUGCUGAUUUUGUUAUAACUGAGCAAUUAUUAAAUUGAUUAGCGUAUAAGCGUGUGAGCUCUUUCUGUUAGUAAUUGUUUCCUAAUUUGACUUGAUUCAUGUUGUUGAGACGGUGAAAAUAUGAAUUCGUAAUUGAAACAUACUUGAAAUCAGUCCUUAAGAUACUGCUGCUUCAAAAUUCUUUAACCACUUCAAACGUGCUUCCUAAAUUUCAUUAGUUUGAGACUUUUUAAGGUUCAAAUUCACUAAUAGCUUUAAAAUCACAGAGUACUCUUUAGUUUGGAAAAAUGGCUCGUUUGAAUAUAAUUAAAACCUUAAUUUGUAAUUAGAAUGGCCAGUACUGAUUGGGAAGCAAGCAAACGAGCCACCCGGGCUUCUCUUUUAGGCACGCUAGGAAUCGAACCUGGCUUCAAGUGCUACGAUUGUUUGGUCCAGUCUUCCGUUCAUGUAGGCCCAAUUCACCUUUUAAGGGUCUUUGAGGCCUGUC